UAUUAAAUUUACCUAUUAGUCUAUUUGGUUUAAAGAAGGUGCUUUCUUAUUUUUCUUGCUUGAUUCAAGGCCUUUAAGGUUGAUCGAAAGCAUUCCGAGAGCCGUUCCAAAGUUGAAUUUGCGGGAUCGGAAGAGGCUAAUCCAAAGGAUGUGUGGCAAGAAAGAAUUUUUUUUUUACUUUUUGAUGCUUGUAUACCCAUUGUCAUAGAGUAGUAAUUUUUGACCAAUUCUUAUAAUCUUCUCAUUUUGAUAGUCGAUUUGAUCUUCUCUAUGCCUAUCGAUGUAGCCCAGUGUGCGUGAAUCACAUGAAUUCACGUGUUGUGAUUGUUCUUGGGUUUUUUCUCUUUUUACUUCACUUUACUCUAAUUUCUUGCAUAUUUUUGUUCUGGGUGAUUUAAAGCAAACCGUUGGUUAGUUAGUGUAGUUAAUUAACAUCUUGAUAGUGUAGGUUCCGUCGUUGCCGCGCUAUAAUGGAUGAGUAAAUACUUCGUAGGUGUUGUCGAUCAAAGUAAAUUAGUUUGUAUACAGCUACUCGAGAAUGCUAUACUGCAACUGAUUUGGUCCGUGAAAAGAAACAAUAUAUAGAAGAAAUAACAUCGACUGAUGUGGUCUACAUGGAAUUGAGGAUCAAGAUUGCAACAGAUAAUUCAGCAAUUUGAAUAAGUUGGUCUAGUUUUCGUUACGCAUGAUUGAUCAAAAUGGAUCAAUAUAGGACUACUUGGUGCAGCCAAGUGCUAGCUCAAUUAGGUUUGCGCCCGAUAUGGGCUAAUCAUUCAAUACCUGGAAACAUAUCAUAGUACCAGAACAGGACAGUUCCUUAUAACAGCAAUGCUAUGAUGGGCUGAUCCUCUUACCGGAAAAGGAAAUUGAAAAUGCUUAGCAUUUUCCUCUUUUUGAAAUGAGAAGUACACAAAUCUUGCUAGCUCUGAAUCAAAAAAAGUGCUUCUAGUAUAAGCACAAUACUAGAGAUGAUCUACUCUUCUAUGCUGUAAUUAAAUUUGGGACUAAACAUACUGAACCAUUUCUCUGUAAUUUCUAUAUGACCUUCUCUUGAAAUGCAGCACGGGCUAAGAUCGAUUGAGCAGCAGGUUCAUAGAAUCAUCUGACAUCGAUCCGUGCAGAACCCGAACUGGUCGACGUCGUCCGAGAGGAAGUUGUUCGUGCCGCACACAUAAUUGUUUUCGGCGAGGAAAUAGAUUGAACUGUAGUGGCAGGGCUCAUCCCUCAACACUUCCAAUAACUGAUCAUUUUGUUUUCGCGACUCUAGGAUCUGUUCUCUGGUAGCUUCAAGCUGCUUCUGAAGAUCCUUCAAGCACUUCUGCAAGUAGGAAAUCGCAUUCGUGCAUCCGUAAACUGGAUCUCGGAGCCUCGCGUUGGCCUCGUACACCAUGCUUUGCACCGCGUCCUCUCUUCUCGUCUCCUCCACCACCUGAUUCACUCGAGCACCGGAAUUUUACGUUAUCGAAAGCAUUGAAUUUUGGUUCGCAGAAAAGAAAAGGCAAUCAUUAAGCACCGCAUUAGCUACAUAUGUACUUGUACGGAACACUCACUCACCUGAAGCAUUUUGAUCACAUUGCUUGCUCCAAACACCUUGUGAACACUCGCAAACUUCUCCGGUUCGUCGGCCGGGAAGUACGGAGCCAACAAGCAGUCGGGGCUGCACUUGCGGUGGAGCGUCCGGCACGCAGCGCACGGCAACUCAGCCUUUGCGCGAGCCCCAAACUCCGAAUCCAUAACCGGGAUUUAAAAAAAAAAAAAAAAAAAAUGUAUUCAAUCUCUAUGCCACAAGUUUCAAAAGUGCAAUUAAUGCAGUUGCUAGGCUAAAAUAUGGAGGACCCAAAGGCUUAUAUAAAGCACAUGCAGCAGGAGAAAGUUGAGUUGGUGUCAUGUGAUGUUGAUGUUGAGACACAACAAAUUUUAAUUAUCAUCUCAUAUGUCAAAAGUUGGAAAUCAAAGAGACAUAUGAUGUUAUAAGACACCUAAAAUAGUGGAAGCUCUCCUAUUUACAGUGAGUGAUGUUAGAGAUAAGGCCAAUAAUUAGGCAAACAAGAUAAUAUAUACUGUAUUAGGAGAUUUGGUUCUUUUGUUGUAGACUGAUGCUAGGGUGUAGGAGAAAAUGCCAUAGAGGUUCUAGGCCAUUGGUGAGUUUGGAACACACAAGAGGCUAUAUUUACUUUACCCUUUGUUUGCCUUUGUUGUGACUUUUCUAUCUGGGUUACUUGUGCAACCCAGGUAUAUAUCAAGUUGCGGGGCUCAUGUAGAUGCAUGUUAUCUAUGUAUUUGCAAAUGGAUAUAGUUUGGCAACACCGGGGCCUAGUUUGGUAAUAUAGUUGCUAAAAGCACUGCCUUUUAUAUUAUGAAAGGUUUACAAACACUAGGGUCUAGCUUGGUAAUAUAGUACUAAAAUCUCCACCCGGAGAAAUAUAUGACUAUAUUGUUUUUCUGAUGGUAGUUGCAAUUAUAAUUUUAAAAUAUUAGGAAAGAAAAUUGUAAAUACUUUCAGAUCUUCGAAAGUCUCAUAAUACAAAAAUAACAUUUUUAGCCACGGCAGUAUAAAACUAGCUAGGUCUAAAACUAUACUUAAGAAAGAUGGAAAUAUGCGUAGGUGAACACUACCUAUAGUCAUGGCAAAGUCCAACUUGGCCAACUUCACUGAACAUUAGUCCAACUUGAUACUAAAUUAGACAAUUUCCCCCCUUUUUCUUUUCUUUCCUGAGAAGGAAAAUUAAUUUUAAGAAACACAAAUGAUAGAUAUGUGUGUUAGUUUUUUAGAUAAGAUGGUAGCAGAAUAAAUCCAAAGCUUUUUCAAUCACAAUGAUCGUGAUUUUGAUUCCCCCUGCUAAGGGCUAUGUUUCUACGUACUCGUUCAAAUUGACAAGAGUCGAUAGUUAUAAAUUAAAAUUAAUAGCAAAGUCUAUUUUAAAAUAAUUUGUAGUGAAAAAAAAGCUUUUGUUAUAGCAGUCAUACUGAAUACUAUAUAUAUAUAUAUAUAUAUAUAUAAAGUACUGUAUAAAAUGGCAAAAGGUAUAAUAAAAUAUAAUAAUAAUAAUUUCAUCCUGAAAUGAUAUUUUUCUUUAAAAAUUGUUUUCGUACUUACCCGUAGCAUGGAGACCUAUGGUUGAACGUUAUAAUCACUACGUGGAAUACGUACUGUUGGACGUUAUUAUCGCUACGUAGAAUAACUGUGCGUGUUAGAGAGGGAAGAGAGGGAACAUUCACGUAGUUAGGUGGUCCCUCCUGUAUAUUUGAUUAAAUUGAUUUUGGAGAAAAUGUAUAGUUACCCCUCAACAAUAGUCAUUAUGAAAUAGACCCCUCAACUUCAAUUUUCGGCAAAUGCUGCUUGCAUAGACUUAGUUUGGUAUUGAGAUCUAUCUGACGCUGUUAGAUAAAAUGGAUUUAGGGUUCAUAGAAAAUAUAUCAUAAUCGACUCAUCGUGAUAUGCGGAACGUAAUAUUAUAUACGAAAACAAACAGAAUAUUUUUUCGUCGUACUUUCUUACAGUACAUAUAAAACGCAAUCUCCUCGUAAUCUCAAACAAAGCUAUACUCCUGUUUAGAGUGUACAUCUUAUGUACACUUUGGCCAUCUAAUGAUUCACAAAAUUUCAAUAAUUUUUAAUUAAAAAAAAAGAAAAAGAAAAGAGCUUAAAAAGACAAAUGGGUUGAUCCCCAUUCACCCAACGACUAGAGUGUAUAUCUUGGACCCUAAUUUAAUUAGAGCGGACGGAUAGUAUUAUUCUUAGGUUUUUUGAUCGACAACCCUUUAACUUUGACUUUUUUUUUUAAUUGAAUUUUUAUAGUUAAUUAGUUUAGAAAUUUUAUUAAAUUUUGGUUAAAUUUUAAAUUACUCUUAUGUGAUUUAACUCAUUUUCACUUUACUAUUCCGUGGUUUAAAAAGUUGUAGUUUGCACCUCAAUGGUUUAGCUCAUUUUACUUUGUCAUCCGUGAUUCAAAAAAUUGUUCUUUGCACUCCUGUGUUUUAGCAUAUUUUUCUCUUUACUAUCCUAUUUUAAGUUUUUUUAAAAAAACUUUUAAUUUUAUCACCCUACUUGACAUGAACUUCUUAUUGAAAAAAGAAACCAAAAAAAAACCAAACCAAAGUGAAAGUUUUUUUUUAAAAAAAUCAUGAAUGAUAAAGUAAAAAUGAGCUAACCUUGGGGAAAUUUAAAAUUUUACUUUUAAAUUUAAAAAAUACUGGGAAAUUUAAAUUUUCUUUUAAAAUUUAAAAAUAUAUAAGUCUACAACCCUCAGGGGUUGUAACCUCUACAAUCCCCCGUCCAAGGUUUUAGUGUUUAAUUACUACCCUUCUUGGUUUUAGUUAAAAAAAAAAAAGCUAUAGUCUAGCAUUGCUCAAAUUUUAUUUCUCAAUUAGCUAUUAGCAGUUAAUUUAUCUAGAUUUAUUGCUACAAAACAAUUUAAACUUUUAAAUUUAAUAAAAUUAUCAAUUAAUUUGAUACAAAUUUUAAUUAUUUAGCUAAAAUUACUUUAUUCCAAUAAAUUCAAUGUUUAGGGGAUCUCAAAUAGAAAAUAUAUAGUUUUUGUGGCUAUCUCAAAAUGGCCUAUAUUUGAAGGCAAUCUAUUAGGCUCUGUUUGUUGCCUUAUCUUUUCUUUUAAUAUUAAUUUUAUAUAAUUUGAUAUGCCGAGGAAAGUGAUUUUUUCUUUUUAUUGUUAUGAUUGGCUAGCUUGCAAGACAUCCUGAUUGGUCGACUGAUAGAUAAAAUUUUAUUUAAAAUAUGUCCGAAAUAAAAGAUAAACUCUAGGGGAUUUGUUUUUUAUUUUUCGUUGCUAAAUAAACACCUUGUAUAUAUAUAAGGUUGCAAAGUAAAAUUCUUUUUUCAAAGUAAUUUUAUUAUAAUGAAUUCCCUUCUACAAUAUUUCCAUGUAGAUUUUGUACAUAAAAAAAUAAAAAAAAAUUAAAAUGAUGCUUUAGUGGUCAUAAAAAAAAUAUAUAGUUCCCUCAUGCUGCAUGCUUCAGUACCUCAAGAUAAAAGGAGAAGACCAUUUGUACACCAGUUGAAUUCAAUUGCCCAAUAAUAAGAGGUGACAUUAACCUACCUUUUUUUUUAUUAUAAUAAUAAUAAUAUUUUAUGGGCUUGGAUUUAAGCAAAAAUGUCAUUAUAAUGGGUGGAAAAAAUGUGUUUUGAGGCUACAAAUCUUCAACACAUAGUACCACUCCCAUGUUGGACCUGUGUCCUCCUCUCCAAUGUGAGUGUCUUUUGGUGACAAAAUCUGCUUCAUGUUACAAGAAAAUAUGUUUUGAUUGGGGCCUUAAUUUCAAGUCUCUUUGACUUGGUGUUCCUUGACUUUUUUUCACUCAUUUCUUCUUCUUUUUUUUUUUUUUGUAGAAAAGUUUGAGGACCUCCUUAGCUAUAGGCCAUUUUGAAUUUGAUCCUUUAGCCCUUUGGCCAUUUUUGUUUUUGUUUUUCUUUUCUUUUUUGAUUAGGACAUUUUAAUUGUUUUAUCAUCGAAAACGGUUUAUUCUGUUAUUCCAUCGGAAGAAAAAUGAGAUUCAUUAAUUGCAUGAGUUGUUUCCCUUUUAAUGUCAUAUUUGCGAUUUCAAGAUAGAUGCGCGCAUUAUGUACAGCGAAAAAGUAUAAUGAAAAAUAUUUUAUUUGUUUCCAUAAAAUAUAUUGCGACGUUCAGACUACAAAGUGGAGAAAUAUAUUUUCUUUGUACUUUUGCUUCAACUCUUUUCUAGGAUGGAUAUCUCCGAGAAGCUAAUUUUGAGGAACUUCAAAAGAUCAUAGCUUGCAGAGUCAUAUGAAAUACUUGUCUAUUAAGUUCCAUUAGAAUUUACCAGAAAUAGUUCUUAUACUUUACAAGAAUCACCAGUGAAUUAUAAAAAAUUAGAUAAAGAAUGCAUAAUCAAAGACCCUCCAAACAGUUCCUAUAGAAUAAUAUGUUAUUUAGCACUUAAGAUCUCUAUCAGAUAAAAUUGGCUUUUUUAGUAGUUAUCUAGUUCUUUUGGAUAGAAUCAACUAAAUACUCUACAGUUUUUUUUUUUUUUUUUUUUAACAAUAUGCACUAUAUUAUUUUCUAUUGGACUUUUUCAAUAACACUUCAUCUCACAGCUUGCCAAACAGACCCGACAUAUAUAUGUCAUGCUGACCCCUAUUGGAAAGGUAAAAGGAAAGAAACCAACAAUCUUAUAAAGUAUACUAGAUUGGCGAGAGCACAAUCAGAGUAGAUAAAUAAAUAAAUAAUAAUUAAAUAAAUAAGAGGGGGAAAGUACGGAUGGCUAAAUCACAGCUCGCUGUUCGCGAGCUAGCUCGUGUUCGGCUCGAAAUGAGCUCGAGAUGCUCGCCGUUUAGUAAACGAGCCGAACACAGCAGCUGGAUUUUUCAGCUCGUUUAAUAAACGAGCCGAACACGAGUUGGGUCAGCUCGCUCAUGUUCGUCCGAUAACAGCUCGAAUACAUAUAUUUUAUAUUUAUAUAAUUUUUUAAUUUAUAUUUUUAUAUAUAAAUAAAUAAUUAUAUAUAAUAUAUAUUUUUAUUAUUUUAUUUUUAGCAAAAUAAAAAUAUAAAUGCGAUCUUAAUUAUAAAAAGACUCAUUUAUAUUGUAAAGUUUCAACUAUUAGAUCAAAGUCUAAUGAAUAAGAUUUGAUAAAUUUAUUUUUUAUAUAUAUUUAAUUUAAUCAUUUUAAUUUAUUGUUCGUUGGCUAGCUCGUGAGCCAGCUCGUGUUCGGCUCGUAAUAAACGAGCCGACACGAGCUGAAUUUUCGGCUCGAUACUUUAACGAGCCAGCUCGUGUUUGGCUCGUUUAAUAAACGAGCCGAACACGAGCCGACCCCAGCUCGCUCGUGUUUGGCUCGUUUACACCCAGGGUAAGGAGAUCAGAACACAUUCCGAUACAUUAGAAUAUCAACAUUUGAAAACCAAUUAAUUAAUUUUGCUACAAACCCAACCUAUAUAGUUUAAUUUAAUAAUAGAAUAAAUAUCAGGAAUACUUUUUUUUUUUGAGAAGAGAGGUAGCAAGCACCUAACUAUCGUUCAUUAAGCAAAAUGAAUUAAGCGUACAAGGUGGAAGCAGCUAAGGCCUCCGAGGCAAUUCCAGGGACAAAAACAGUAAUGUAACAGAAUAGAGAUAGAGGAUAAGGGGAAAAGGAGAGAAAAGGUGAGGGAGAGAAGAAAAUUAAGCUGAAGAACAGUAAGCUGUUGCGGUCAACCAAGCUGUGUCCACGAGUCCGCCAGGCGUAAGAUGCGCUCAAUUGCUUGGGUAACAUUGAAAGGUUUCGUGCUGAAGAUAAUAUUAUUUCUUUCUGUCCAUACUACGCACCAAAUUGCCGCUAGAAGGGUUAGGGCUUUUGAUCUCUUCAUGGCGUUGAAGGUGAUAGAUGUAUUUGACCAAAGGUCCCGAGCAUCCCUUGAAUCCCCAAUAGAAACCCCCAGCUUGAUGGUUAGGAAUCGGACUAACACGCAAAAACAGAAUAAGUGAUCGCAAUCUUCCAUGGAAAGUGCGCAGAAGACAGUGUCCGUCUACAUACAUCCCACGAUUUAGUAAUCUGUCAGUAGUGGAAAGUCUCUUGCGCAGUAGUAGCCAAAUGAAUAUUUUGAUUUUAAGUGGAAUGUUGAGUCUCCAUAUGUGAUCGUUCGUCGGGUCUCUCUGACCUGCAUCGUCGAGUGAUUUAUAAAGGGAUUUGACCGUAAACAAAUGGUUGGAGGUCCACCCCCAUUUUAGUUGAUCCGGGCGAUUGGUAGGGCUGCAAUGACGUAGAAAGUCUUUAAGCAGGGAAAGUUGUCUAUGGUUUUGGGGUGAUUGGGGCGCCGCGUAACCUCUGCAGAUAUAUCGCCAUCUCCAUCCGUUGGAAUUCCAGCAUUGUGAUAGUAUGACCUCCUUAUUCCGAAUAUUGUCAAAGAUGUUUGGAAAUAAGGUGUGGAGGGGUGUUUCACCAAUCCAGAUACCAUGCCACAGUCUGAUGUUGUUACUGUCCCCCAAUUGGUAUGAUGCUCCGCAUUUAAACACCUCACGGCAUUUAAUCACACCUUUCCACCACUGUAAGGUAUAAAACCUCUUCCCUCGUGCAGCGGCCUUCGUCUUUUAUAAUAGAGGGUGCUAAUCAAUUUGCACCAACGCAGGUGUGGCUCAUUGAAGAAGCGCCACCACCAUUUGGUUAAGAGAGCCAGAUUCAUGUUGUCCAGGUCUUUAAUCCCCAACCCGUCUUCUUCCUUACUUUUGCAGACUGUUUUCCAACUCACUAGACAAGUGCCACCGGAAACUUUGGAACACCCUUUCCAAAAGAAUGCUUUUCUUAGGGCUUCCAGGCGGUGCAGUACCCAUUGAGGUGCUUUAAACAUAGAAAGAUAGAAAAGUGGCAUAUUGGUGAGAACCGAGUUAACAAGAGUCAGCUUUCCCCCUAGGGAGAGUAACUUAGCUUUCCAUUCUUCAAUUCUCGCUUCAAUGCGCGCGGUUGAUAAGCACAUUCCAGUCCUCCUUGCGAAGAUAUUUAUUAUAUAAAGGAAGGCCCAGAUAUCGAAACAGUAGAUUUCCAACUUUACAUCCUAUAAUGUUGGCCAGCCUGUCUUCUUUAUGGGUGUUGGGACCGAAGUAGUAAAGUUUCGAUUUGUUCUUGUUGAACCUGAAGCCGGAGGCCCAUACGAAGGUUUUCCAGAGAAACUGUAGGUUCUGCAUAAUGAAUUUUUUUGGCUCACAGAAAAAUAGAGUGUCGUCGGCGUAUUGGGUGAGCACCGUCUGGCAAUCUGCAGACAGGCCAAUUUCGUGUAUCAAGUUGUUACUCCUAGCUAUUUCGGUCAUCCUAGCCAAGCAAUCGGACACCAAGAUGAACAGGUAGGGGGAGAGAGGGUUCCCUUGUCUAAGACUCUUUCUAGCUUUUAGCCACUUUCUUGUAGUGUCGUUCAUUAGAAUGGCUAUUUUGGCAUUGCAGAUAUAUUGUUAAAUCCAGGACCACCAUUUAGCACUAAAUCCAAGCCACCGAAGUAUACUUUGUAGAAAAGUCCAUCAGCCUUAAUGCUUACGCAUUCCUUGCCAGACUUUGAGCACCAGUUGAUAAGUUCCGAAGCGGUGACAAAUGAGUCAGUCAGCAGCCGAUCUUUGAGGAAAGCUGAUUGCGAUAGAGAAAUAAUGGACGGCAGAAUGGGUGUGAGUCUAUUGUCGAGGACUUUGGAGAUGAUCUUUUGCAUUCCAUUGAUUAGGCUUAUCGGUCGGAAGUCGAUAGCCUUACGUGCACCUUCUUUUUUAGGGAUGAGACACAUGUAAGAAUAAUCAAGUGGACCGGUAGAUAGUCUGUUGUCAUGGAGUUCAGUGAAAAUGUUAAGUAUAUCUCCCUUGAAGGACUCCUAGAAGGUUUGAAAGAAGAGGGGUGGGAAUCUGUCUAGUCCGGGGGCUUUAUCGCUGCCUCCUCCAGAGUAACUCAGUUGUUAGAUCAUCCGGAUUCGACAGUCUGGCAGAGUGGUAGAGCUUGCUCCAAUCGCCAACAUACUGAAGUCGCUCUUCCGCCUACCCACAUAAGCGUUUAAAAGAGUGAAAGAAAUAGGAUCUUUUUUGUUCUUUAUUGGUGAUUUCCGACCUGGUGUCGUUUUCUAUGACUUCGAUCGAGUUAAAGCGUUUACGUCCAUUAGCCACUGCAUGAAAAAAUUUAGUAUUACCAUCGCCUUCCUUGAGCCAUUGCUGUUUGGCCCUAGUUUUCCAAAGUAUUUCUUCUUUCUCUAGGAUGGACUGAAGUUGUACUUUAAGGUUUGCUCGUUUAUCUAUGGUUUAUUGUGGCAAAUUUAGCUGCUCCUCCAUCAGGUCUAUUGAUUGGAUAUCCUCCUGCAGGCGCCUUUUAGAGUAAGCAAUACUGUGAAAAUUCGUCUUGCACCAUUCCUUAAUUUUUGCUCUGCAGUGCCUGAGCUUAGCAGUUAUGAUGAGAAUGGUCGAGUUCUUGGAGCCUACUUCGUUCCACCAGAUUGGAACUUUUGUGAUAAAGUUCUCCUUUGUUAGCCAGACCCGCUCGAAUCUGAACCUCCGCGGCUUGGGGGGAUGCCCCGUAGUGAGAAGGAUCGGGGUAUUGUCGGAGGUGGUUCGAGGGAGUGUCUUGACUUUACAGUAUGGGAAAGAAAGAUCCCAUUCCGUUGAGAUAAGGAAUCUGUCGAGUUUGGCUAGGGUGGGUCUUUGUUGCAUAUUCGACCAAGUAUAACACUGGCUGGAUAGGGGAAGAUCAAUAGCUGCUAGGCUUUUGAUGAUAUCCGACAACAUGGCCAUGGCUUUGGUCCUCCAAGAGUUUCCAUUUCUUUCAGCCUGGUUUCUGGUGAAGUUAAAAUCUCCGCAAAUGACCCAGUUGUUAGGGCCUUCGGAGAGAGAGAAGUUCGGAGCAUAAGUCUUCUUUUCCACCCCAGGCUGGGGGCCCGUAGACGCUCGUAAGGUAAAAGGAUUUUCCACUAGCCAGGUGAGUCAUAUUAAGGGUGAGCGAGUGCUCCUGCACAAUGACCUCGCUAGAAGAGAAAAGUUUGGAGCUCCAACACAUGAUUAGCCCGCUAGAGGCCCCAGCUGCUGGGUUAAAAUGGCACAAUAUCGAAGAUAGAUCUACAGCAAGAGCGGAGAAAGGAGUAGGGCAUAGAAUCUACUUUAGUUUCUUGAAAACAGACAAUCGAGUAGAAGAGAUGGGACACACAGACUUGAUACAUCGAUGCUUAGCUGGGUCAUUUAGACCUCGUACAUUCCAACUUAGGAUGCUAAACAUAAGGACAAAGAGACAGGACACUCGAGGGACUUUGCAGGCACAGAAGACACUUCUACACUUAGGUUUCAGCACUUAGGAACUUUUGGAGCUCCCUGACUUCAGCAUCGAAUAGUUUCACCCUGCAGAGUUGCUCUUCGCCUUCACUUUUUUCGUGGUCUACUUUCGCGUCGAGGUCCCAGUAGUGGUCGCCUCACCCUCAAUCAGAAGCGCUUUCUUGCGCAUUGCCCUGCAAAGCGUUGAGACCUGCGUCUUGUGUAGCCUAUUGUUGGACCUUGGCGGGCUAGCCUGGACGUCAACGGGGGAGGACAUUCCACCAGUUGCAGUGGGCGAUUCGCGUUGAUCGACUCCAAGUAAAUUCGUAUAAGCAGGCGUCGGUCUGAAUAAGUCUCGUCCAUAUAAAUUGGCGACAUCUACUAUCGAAACACUCAGAAUUUGAGAGAUAAAACGCGCGUCACUGUGAGAUGGGCUACCCGUGGCAGAGCCAACAACAUCCGAGAGCGGGCCUUCAGAUGACCCAAGUUGGAGGCCACAAGAAGGGUCGAGCCGCUAGGCAGACCAAGGUGGGAGAAAACUAGCCCGAAGCCCAGGGAGCUAGACCCGAAAGUAGGGUAAUAGAUGGUUAACCAGUCUUGUGAACUCAAUCCACCUGGGAUGGGUGCGGAUUAGAGGACAGCUGUCCACCACAGAGGUAGGUUGCGGGCGGGAACCAAGGUUGAUGGGCAGAAUCCCCAGAAGUUAAACCAAAGAUCCUUCGUAUAGUUGAAAAAGCCCCAAAAACCGUUUGAGUCAACCAUAGCUAGGUGUUUACCCCUAGGGUGACCCUGGAAACUUCCACUUUCAUGAAGAAAAGAAUUAAUGGCGAAGGGCGAGCCAAGGUCCAUCUGGGAGGGCGCAAGAAGGUUGAGGCCGCCUGGUGGGCAUGUACUUCACACGUCUUCUUUGUCAGAUGGCACGAAAAUGGAAAGUCCAACCGGCGGGAGAUUUGAAAGUAGGGGUUUUUUCGGCGGGACGGCCGCGCUGCAGUCGGCUGAAGGAGGGUUAGAAGGCCGUGCCUGCCACAUGUCCGACCGCCAAGAUUGAGUGGUCAGGCGGCACUAGUCCCCUGUUCGGCGACGGUCAGGGGACGCCGAAGGAGGCGUAGGAGGCGGGGACUUCGAAGGAGGCGUGGGGGGCGGAGGACAGGUGUCAUCGCGAGCCGAGGUCGGCGGGGUCCACCGUAGGUUGGCGGGCAGCAGUCGCCUGUCCGACCUUAGCAGGUGCGCGCUAGAGAUAACCGGGAGCGCCUGCCUCUGCGACGGAGACAGGACGGGAGAGUCAAGACUGGUCGGGGCAUCCUUGGGGACGAUGGCCUUUCUUCUGUCCCAAAUUUCAGAUGAAUUUCAAGAGCCGUCGGAGUUGGAAGAGUCGCCUGCUGUGGAGUGACGUCCUCUAGAAAAAUCAUCUGAACGACUUUCAACUCCAGAGAGUCUCGCGAGAGGGUCGUGUUGGCCCGUUCGCUCCUCUGGGGAGGGAUUGUCAUGGCCAGCGUUCUCGUCGUGGGCCUAUCUUUCCAACUGAAUGAGCACCGAAGUCGACAGGUCUCCGAAAGAGAUUUCUAUGUUCUCCGGAAUAUCAUGAAGAUGAUUGACAGCAACAAGGCAGCGGUAUGUCACGGCACAAAGAUUUUCUCCGCGAUUUCGCUUUGCAAUCACCCGAUCUCCAAAGCGGACAUCUGACGGAGGUUUUGGCUUGGAACCUUCUGGAAGCUUCUACGUGGAUCUCGAGGCUGAUUGGCGCGGAUGCCGAGGAGUCAAGAGUCCCUUGGGGUUUCUAGGUAGCCAUUAAUGUACUUAGAGUUUCUAAGCAUAUUUCCUAUGACUCUUGGGAGACCGUAGCGUACUUAUUGGCCUCCCCUUUUGGCUUGUAGUUUCAUGCCACUUGGCACCUUUUCAUUUGCACUAUGGGCGGCGAGUGGCCUAUAAAUAGUGUGGCCUCCAUCCCUCUCAUUUCAGAAUCUACUAUUGUAUUCUCCAAGUUGAAGUAAUAGAAGAGCUUUCUUCUUAUCUCUCUCUUGUACUUAGUCUAGGGCGAGUGAGGUCCUAACUUAGCAAGUAGAGAGGCAGGCUUGCUCACUUCGCGAAGGAAGGCGAGCGCCGCACGGGCUUUUGCGAGCAAAUUCGUUAAGUCCGUGACAGGUAGCCGGUAAGGUCAACCAUGUGAGUGCUGAAGUUGUCGGCCCUAAUGAAAUGACUGAAGCCGCCGACGAGAGCCGCUAUAGUUCUGUAUUUCCAGCACUCGUAAGGCAGGCUUACCAGUCGUAUCUAGGCUUUGUAAGUCAACGAAGGCUGCCGAGCACCUCUGUAGGGGUCCCAAGGAUAGCAGCAUAAUUUAAGGUCUCCCAAGCUAAGGAUCUCCCUGCAUAGGAGCUGCUCGCAAGGUACCCAUUCUGGCAGGAAGAUGACGAAGUCUCGUUCGCUGUAGUGGGCGACAUGGAAAUCCGAUGGGUAUCCCCCAAAACGAUUGGCGAGGCCGAAGGCUAUGGUGUCCUGGGGGAAAUGGCCCAGGUUAGCUGGGGAAGCCACGUCGAUUACGACAGCAUUGUGUGGGCGGUUUUGGCGAGCGAAAAAAUCUUCGGAGAGGGGGACAAAUGCGCUGAGGUAGGUUGGGCGAGCACGCAUUGCUCGGUAAACAUUCAUCGGCAACUGAUUCAUGCAGUAACGAGCAAAGUGUCCUAAUUUGAAGCACCUUCUGCACCGAAUGGAAUUGCGGCAAGUAAAGACUCUAUGGUCUCGACCCAAGCACCGAAGGCAUUUGUCGGCAAAGGAUGGCCUGCCGAAACUGGGGAGGGAUCUCAGAAGGGAGCGGGGAUGGGAAAUAGCGGGAGGAGCGGGGGAGAGAAGCGCAUCCCUGUACAUCUUCUUAUAAGUAGGAGGGGCAGUGGUGCGCUUUCUCACAAGAUGACCAACGGUCCGUGGCUCGUCCUCGGACCUAGGCUUGACAGAGGCUUGAGCAUUAGAUGAAGUAAUUGAGCUGAGUUAAUGCAAGUGAAGCCAAGUCCGCCCAGAGGACCUUCUUGGAAGAGGAGCAUCCUUCAUCUUCGGGUUGUCGAAGGUAGGUAUCCACAGUAACUCCAAGGGGCCUCUUGAGGAGUUGGAACCUCUGCUCCAGCACAGAGUUCAGGCCGCCAGUAAUAUGGUCACAAGACCUGCCGGUCCUUGCCCCGGGUGCACUGGGAGAGGUCGCUGUUGACGUCGAGUGCUUCAAAAUCGAGGCUACCACCUUCUCCUUACCAGUCCACUUUUCCUCUCGUAUCAUAGGCGCCUUCUCAUUGCAGGUCUUCUCCUCUCUCCAACCAUGGCGCGAGAGCCUUCUCUCUCUCUCGCAUAGUGUCAUUAGUAGAACCUCGCGAGAGUCUUCUCAAUAAUUCGUAAUGUUAGUUAUGAUCUUGACAUAUCAGGAAACUACUUAAAGCAGGGAAUUUACCACUACUGUGAUUUCUAUAUUUGCAGCUUCUCUAGCAUUGGCAAGAAGAAACUCAACUGAUGCAAACAAACUUAUGAACAUUGUGUUAGCUUUGUUAAGAUUAUUAUUAUUAUUUUUGGGAAAACAGUAGGGAGAACCAUCUGCUUCUUUCAUUAAAAAAUAAACUUAGCUACAUAAAUGAAAUAACGUGGCCUGAUCCCAAAGAAGAGAAAAUAGAGUAAGGAUGAGAGAGAGAGGGGAGCAAAAGAGGGGAGAGAGCAAAAAAAUUUACAUGAAUGGCGGCAGAGAAGAGCAACUAGUGACAUAACUCAAAACAAUUCUUUAUGAAAUUCAAAAUACUCAAAAAAAAGGACUUGAACUGGAUUCGUACAACUAUCCUAAAAAAUAAAAAAUAAAGUUGUUCCUUUCUAGCCAGAUUGCCCAUCAUGUGGCCGAGUCUAGUGAGCUUGUUUAGCCUUCUACUAGCGUCCCGUUGUGCCGAUAGCUAGCUUCUCCUAGAGGGGCAAAUGUGAACGUCACUGGACUUUUGAAAGAAUAAAUUUAAUAAUUUGAACUUUGGAGGGAUAUAUUUAUUAUUUAAUAUAUUUACAGGGAGCUGUACGAAUGAAAUUAUCCUUAUUUUAAAUCCCCCUUCUUAAUUAGAGUGCCAUUUAGAUCAUUAGUGGUCGAUUAGCUACAGCAUAAAAUCGAUUUUCUUAUUAAUAUUUCCGUCUCUAUCUCCCGUUUACAAUCAAGGUCUUUCGAGUAAAAGUAUCUUCUCCGGAAUACUUUGCCUUUGUUGUUGAUUUUUCUUGUGAGUUUUAUUGCACAAUAUGAGUUAUAUAGAUUGCAUUUUCUUUAUUGUUGAAUUUUCGUGAGUUUUAUUGCACGAUUUUAAUUUUGAUUUAACUAGCUAAUUGUUGGUACACUAUUUUUAGAUCUCUCUCUCUUAAGUGCACUUUGAACCUGCUUUUGGGUUUAAAGUUUAGAUCUGGGCCAAAUUAUUUCCUUUUGUGGGCUAUUUCCUGCAACUUCAGAUGAAGUAAUCGUUCUUAGGGCUCCAAGUCCGAGCACGCUUUUUAGCACAUUUUUUUUCUUUUUUCCUAACUUGUUGUUGGCUUAAAUGGAUCAACAUCUUACUUUGUGGUUGGAAGGUAGGUUGAGUCGAGACAUGUCUGAAAUGGUAGGAAGCCAGGUUGGGCGCUUUUCCGAUAUAAAAUUUAAACAAAUUGUUUACUAUAAUAAAUUUAUAAUUACACUAAUUGCAUAAAUCUACCAAUUAAAUUCGUAAAGACAAAAGAUGCAUUCUAAUUUUGAAGUUAAAGAGUUACUAACUUGCUUAAAUCUAAUAGAGUAAAAGGUUAAAUAGCAAAAUUAAAGUUUUUAAAGAUUAAAUAGUCAGAUAAAAAAUAGAUGAUAGUCGAGAUAAGUUUCAUAUAUUUUUGCAAAAAAACUUUACCAUUAUAGAGGUCAUUUUCUGUCCAUUUCUCUUCGUUUCUCUUCCUUUCUUUCCUCUAGUUUCAUUUCAAACCAGAUAAAAUUAAGUGUUCUACUUUUUUUUUCUUUUCUCUCCUUCUCUCUCAAUCAAAAGGAGUGUAGAAGUAUUGACCGUCCCUAGCGCAAGCAGCAAAAGGUUUGGUAUUAAUACCCGAGGUCCCAAGUUCGAAUCCUAAUUGAUUCACAUUUCCAGCUAAGUUUAUUUCUAAAUAAAAUAAACAAAACGGAUAGUAUGCUAUCUAUUUCUCUCUCUCGAAAAAAAAAAAAAAGUGUAGAAGUAUAUGGAAUUUCUACUCAGUUUAAAGAAAACCCUACACACCUACUGGUCUAGUGGAAAGCUGUAGACCAAAUCAAAGAUUACACGGCAAUCUCACACACAAAUUACCAAGACUUAAAAAUUGAAAAAUGAAAAAGAAAUAUACUGAGACAAAGUGGCGAAUAAAAUUGUAGAAGAGCUAUGCUAUCUGGAAAAUUUUAUUAUAGAGUAUAAAUUUCAUAUCUGGAAAAUUUUAUUAUAGAGUAUAAAUUUCAUACAUUAGCCUUUCAAAGGCACAUAUUUAUUUACUAGUUUUAUUAAUUUUUUAAUAGUAAAAAUCUAAAAAAGUUUUUAAAUUUUUGGAAAGUCGGAUAUAAAAUUUGCAUCUUAUAAUAGAGUGUACAUGCAACAUUUUUUAUUGUAGAAUAGGUAAGCGGAGAAUAAGGUUUAUUGGAGGGUAGAGAUUUAGUCCUCAAAGGGAAAGAGAGACGUUGACCUAGAAUAUAAGGGCAAUCUGGUUUAUCUAUUGUAGAUAUUAUUGUUUAUCUUAUGAGAAUGUGAUAUCGAUUACUAUUCUAUUCUCGAUUGGAAAUGAUCAAAUUCAUUUAUGAUUCAAUCCUGUCUGAAAUUCUGAAUUGGCCCAUGCCAAAGUUAAACCUUCCGUAAUGGAAAAUUUUUUUCAAUAAAAAUAUAAAGAAUUUAUAUCAACUAUCUCAUAUUUUGAUAUGACUAUUUAAUCUUUAAAAAUUUUGAUUUUGCUAGCUAACCUUUUACUUUAUUAGAUUUAAGCAAGCCUACAACUCUUUAACAUCAAAAUUAGAUAAGUCCCAAAAUGAAUGAAUUCUAGUAUCUCACACUCGUACAUACUUCGUACUUAUAUAUAUUUGCUAAUUCCAUAUAUAUUCUCUCAUCUCAUUCUAUUCUUCAUAUGGAAAAUGGUUUGUGUGAUCAAUAACGAGAAAAACCAAAAGUGGGAAAUGCUAUAUUAAGUCACCAUCCAUCUAACAUAGCACUACUACUCCACAUCUAGUUUAUACUCCAAAUCACUAGAUCACAACAGAUCGAUCAUAUAUAGCAUCUCUUUUCCCUAUCAUCGAGCAAACUAGAUCUCUCAUUAAUGCAUUUGUAAUCAUGAUUAUAUUGACAACACACAUCAAAAUAAUCAUCCGGAAUAUGAGUCACAAAUCGUAGGUGCGCUGUCAAAUUGUCAAAUUAUUUUUUCUCAAAUGCCUUAUGCCAAUUCAUUUCAACUUGAUUGCUUUCCUAUACAUAUUCCAUGGGACCUAAUGAAUCAUGACCUAUGGAUAUUAUGCUAAAGUAGCAUUAUCAAGUAUCUAUUUCAUGACAUGGUUCUAAGUCUCAAAAAAUCCCAAAGGGUACACAAGGCUCACACAACGAUGAAAUAUGGAUUAAUUUUGCCACUUCCUUUUAUAGUGACCGAUUUUACUUAUACAGUACAAAUAAAUGCUAUGGUAGAGCCAUCUCUAAGAACAUGUAACACACAAAAUAUCAUACGAAUGCCAGUUCUAUUACUACUCAAGACAACAAAUCUUAAUAUAGUCAUCCAUAUGGUGCACUCUUCAUAUUCGGCUUUAUACAUGCCAAGUAGAGUCAUGAAUCAUUUAUAUUGUUGAAUUCAAAAAGUUCUAAAGAGGAAAUUUAUUAUCCUUAUGAUUUGUAAGAAAUUAGAUACUAAUCAAAUAAUUAAUACCAUUUUUUACUUUUUCCUUUCUUUUUUUUACUUUCCUUUCUUUCUUUCUUUUUUUUUUUUUUUUUUUUUUUUGAAAGGAAAGAGGUGGUGGGCUCACCUCCUCUGUACGGAUCAGAGGAGGUGAGUCCACCCUCUAUCCUUUUUUUUCUUUUUUUUCUUUUCUUUUUUUUUCUUUUUUUUUUGGAAACAACAAUGAUUUUUUUUUUAUUCUUUUUUGUACACUACAACAAAAAGGAUAUAUAGCGACACUUUUAAAUAUCAGUACAGGUCAAAAAAAGUGCUGCUGGCUAAAUUAUCGACACUUUUAAAAAAUAUUACUAUAUAUGGGGUCGCUAGGUAUAUAGUGAAAGUUAAAGAGUGUCGGUAUAACCUAAAAAAAGUGCUACUAAUUUAUCAACACUUAUUUAAGUAUUUAGCAACCGCCGGAAUUCUAUCUUGUUGGCUGCGGUGGCGGAAGAGGAGGAAAGGGAAGUGCUUUUCGUCUAGGAUUUCAGUGGAUUGAGUGAGGGGAGAAGGAGAGAUGGCAAUUUAUUUUUUCUUUUUUUUUUUCUGUUUGUAAUCGGGCCGAAUGGACUGGGUGGGGUGGGUUGAGUAGAGUAACAUUUUAUUCGACAUUAGUAGAUAUUUUUAAAAACUUUGGUAUAAAUGGGACACUUACACAAAAGUGUUCGAAACAUGUGUUCCUAUAAUCUAAUUCUAUUGUAGUGGUUCUUAUUUUUGAAUUUUCUUUCUUUGUUUGGAACGCAAUUCUAUUUAUUUAUUUAUUUUACCUAAACAAUGACACAAGCCUUCUUUAUUCUUUCUUCUUUCUUCUUUCUCUCUUUUUCUUUGUUUUUUCCUUUUUUUUUUUUUUUUUUUUUUUUUCUUUUUUUUUGGCUCAUAAGGGCCUGGCAAGAGGUUGUUGAGGAAGUUGCGAGUUUCGUGUAUGACUGUCACCUUCCAACUUAAUUUCGUAUGUUUUGUUGGGACUCACAAAUAUUGACAACAUCAAAAUUAGAAUAUAUAUAUAUAUAUAUAUAUAUAUAUAUAUAUAGAGAGAGAGAGAGAGAGAGAGAGAGAGAGUUGGUGCUAUCACUACCUUCCUAGCCGCUUAUUCGUUAAUAUAAUGUCGAAACUUACAAUCAUCAAAAACUUAGUAUUUUUAAAAACACAUAAUCUCAAUUAUAUAUAUAGAGUAGGUUUACUAUACUAUUAUGAGUAUAUAGUCCUUCGUACUCAUAAUUUGUUUUUAAUGAUGGAGCUUGUAAAUCGACGAUUCACUCCACUAAAUAUAAUCUAGAGUACUUGAAACUUCCAAAAAAUAAAUUUCGUAAAUUUUUGAAAUCAUAAUAAAGUCUAUUAAGCGGGUAUAAAGUGAAUGGUCAAAAUUGAACGACAUCCUAAAAAUGAAUGAUCGGAUUUUUCAAUUUAAAAUUGGAGUUAUUGAUUUUUUUCUAGCUAGUGAAUAGAAUUUUUCAUCAAAAAUUCAACCUAUUCUAAUUCUUUUACACCAUUAAACUAGCAAAUAUCCCGUAUCGGCCGCUAAAAAUUAUCAAUUUUGUGAAGUUUUGAUCGUAAAGUAAAUGAUGUCGAAAAAUUAUAAAAUUUAAUUUUUAGAAGUUUUAAAUAUUCUAGAUAAUGUUUAAUGAUAUGGAUCAUUGAUUUCGCAGCUCUAUCAACGAAAACAACUUAUGAGUACGAGAACGAUCGUAUUCAUAAGAGUACCGUAGCCGGACUCUCUCUCUCUCUCUCUCUCUAUACGUAUAUAAAGAGAGAGAGAGUGAGUUGAGCUAGAAUACAUCUAAAAGCACCAAUUCAUUGGUGCUUUUAGAUUUUUAGCCUUUAGAUCCAUCAUUUGACUACUAUUAGCUUUUGGAUCAAAUGAACUAUAUAUUUUACCUACCGCGACUCAACCCAAAUGGGUUACUAUCAUCCUACCCCUACAAUACCUCCAUCUAAGGACUACAAAUUUAAAAGUGUCAAUCUCUUUGUGCUUUUAGAAGUAUUCUAGUUCAACUCUUUCUCUUUAUAUAUAUAUAUAUAUAUAUAUAGAAUUGAGGUCAUAUGCUUUUAAAAGUAUCAAAACAUUGGGACUUGUAGAUUUUUAGCCAUUGGAUUAAAAAAUAUGCAGUUAGAAUGAUGUGGGCCCUCUAGGGUUGAAUGGGUGGUUGGUUAAAUAGUAUAAUCUAAUGGUUGAAAAUGAUCCGUGGAAUAAAUCUAACGGUAAAAAACUUACAAGCACCAAGUGCUUGAUUCUUUUACAAUCAUCAUAGCUGGACUCAUAUAUAUAUAUAUAUAUAUAUAUAUAUAUAUAUGGUUUAUCUUGAUGCUAUUUAAAUAUAGUAUAAAAUAAAGUAUAUUAUUACUAUACUAUACUCAAUAUAUAUAUCAUGAAGUGUUUGAGUGCUCCAAAUAGACAUGGAAAAAAUAAAUGAUCGGUAGACUACGAGACAAAAAUGUAGGUAAACAAAAAAUCCUGUCUAGCCUAAUGAUGCAAACAGAGCGUAUUAUAUCUGGGGAUGGGAUGGGUGCCUAAUGCUUGCUCCAUUUCUUAUGGGAUUGAGGAGGAUUUGGAGCAGAUUAACUUUUAUCCCAAUUUUGACCCUCACUUAUCACUCUAUUCAUGGUGGAUCAGAAUAUAAGAGGACUUUUGGCAGAUCAUCGCAAAUUAAAGGAAGAAAAAGAUCUCUCGUCCCUGCUCCACUUCUUAGCAGAUCGGGGUAGAUUCAAAGCGGGUUACAUCUUUUAUAUUUUUAAUUCCUAUUUACUUUCCUAUUUGGAAUGGAUUAGGGCAGAAACUCCAGCAACCCGAAUCCAUGUACAUCUCUGGUAAAAAAUUAUGACAUGUUUGUUCAUCAAAAGUGGAGGGGAUAAAGUUGUUUUAGGCUAUAAAUGAUUUGCUCUAAAUUAGAUCAACGCUAUUUUUUUUUUAAAAGAAAAUUUGUAAUUGAUUUUACUUGGAUUUUUCCAAAGUUACUUAUGGAAGAGAAAAUAAUAAAAAAUUAAUGAAAAAAAUUAAAUAUUGUAAUUUUUAUCAUUCUCUUUAUACACUAUAUAAAGAUGGUUAAUAAAAUUAAAAAAAAAUUAGGACACAUAAUUUUGAAGUCAUUGACUUUCUACCCAACAAAAUAGCGAAAAAAUAACUUUAUUUCAACAAAAAAUUAUUUUCAAUCUAAAAUUUAUUAGGGGAUAUUUCAUAACAACACGUCACUCCAAACUUCGAAUGUUCCGUAACUGCAAAAAAAACGACGCAUUAAUUUAGACCCCUCAACGACCCCCCAACGAUCCCCGAGUUACGUGCACGUGUGCUUUUGAGUGUAGUGUUGUACAUGCUUAUAUGUUGAGUACACAAUAUUUUAUGUUUAGCCUUUUUUUGAGAUUGCGGAAAAAUUGCGUUACGUGUGUUGCGUUACAUGCGGUGAGAAAUGACGAUGAAAAAAAUAUACUAUUUGUUUCCGUACGUAAUAUUACAUUCCGUAUAUUGCGGCUAGUAGAUUACGAUAUAUUAAUAUUGCGUUCCGCAUAUUGCGGUUUAGUAUGUUACUAUAUAUUUCUGCGGUCCCAUAGGAGAACACAGAAGUAUAUCUCUUAUAUGCUUUUUCUCAACUCCAUUCUAUCUAGUAGCGUUAGAUCUAUCUCAAUACCAAACUAAGCCUUAGUAUUUUGCUUUAAAAUUAGAGUAGCCAUAGGAGAACACAAAAACAUAUCUCUAUAUGCUUUUACUCAACUCCAUUCUAUCUAGUAGCGUUAGAUUCACCUCAAUACCAAACUAAGCCUUAGUAUUUUGCUUUAAAACUAGAGUAGGGCUACAAUAUUUUUAGCGUAUAGAUUUUUUUUAUAUUUAUAAAUAAUUUUUUAUGAUAAAGUUUUCAAAUUAACUAUCCUUAUUGUCAAAUUAAUAAACCUAUAAAAAUUGAUGAAAAAAAUAUAAUUUCCAUGAGAAAAAAUAUAGUACUAGAUAAGAAAAUGAAAAUAAAUCUAACAUACAGUGCAUCUGUUGAUAAAAUAUGGUUAUAUGAUUGUAUACUAGCCUCGCUCUAUAUACCAUUUUUUCAAUUAUGUAACUUUCGAAUCGACGAUAUCGGCUCCAUUAGUCUUGAUGUACACUAUUGAAAAUACUUGGAAACUAAAUUUUAUAAUUUUUCAACAUCAUUUACCUAUCAAACAUGCAGUCUAAAAAUGAACGGCUGUAAAUAAAAUCUUCAUAAAAAAAUAAUAAAAGAUUUGAAUUUAAAAUUAGAUGUACCGAUCUUAUUCAAAAUAGUGAAAAUAAUUUUCUAUGAAAAUUUUAUUAGAUUAGAUUGUUUUAUAUCGUUAAAUUCAAAUCUUUUAUUAUUUUUUUAUGAAGAUUUUAUUUACAGCCGUUCAUUUUUAGACUGCAUGUUUGAUAGGUAAAUGAUGUUGAAAAAUUAUAAAAUUUAGUUUCCAAGUAUUUUCAAUAGUGUACAUCAAGACUAAUGGAGCCGAUAUCGUCGAUUCGAAAGUUACAUAAUUGAAAAAAUGGUAUAUAGAGCGAGGCUAGUAUACAAUCAUAUAACCAUAUUUUAUCAACAGAUGCACUGUAUGUUAGAUUUAUUUUCAUUUUCUUAUCUAGUACUAUAUUUUUUCUCAUGGAAAUUAUAUUUUUUUCAUCAAUUUUUAUAGGUUUAUUAAUUUGACAAUAAGGAUAGUUAAUUUGAAAACUUUAUCAUAAAAAAUUAUUUAUAAAUAUAAAAAAAAUCUAUACGCUAAAAAUAUUGUAGCCCUACUCUAGUUUNUAUAUAAUAUAACAAAUAAAAAUAUAUCGAAAGUAGAGUAUAAUAGAGUGUAAUUAAGUCAAAGUAUUGCUAGCAUAAAGUGAACACAGAGGUUAUCUUUCUUACAAUAUUUUUGGGUCCGGCUCCAACUGUUUAUUUAUUGUGUUGUAAUAUUUUACUAUUAAAAUAAAAAUAAAAUUUUCUUGGCCAAUUUGUAUAAAGAAUUCACUAGUUUUGCACUUUUGCAAAAGUAUGCCACAUUUUUUUAAUUUUACAGAUUCGGACUAGAUUUUUAGCAAACUGACCAAAAUACCCUUAUUACUUAUCCUCUCUCCUCUUUUGUUUACUCUUGUUUUUUUUUUCUCUCUCCGAAGAAGGCAGCGGAGGCUAAGGCGCGCGGAGGCGGAAACAACCCGCCUCGCCUCUGCCCUGCAAGCCCUCGAUCGCCCUCGCCCGUGCACCCCCGCCCUCCUCGCCUUCAACCCUACUGAGGCCGCGCCGCGACUCUCCUUCUCCACUAUGGCACGGCGACGUCGAGGCGCAGGCUCUGCUCCUCCACCACGCGUCGAAACGCCGAGACGUCGUCGGAGGCAGCGAGAUUGCCUCAGACGACGUCGCGGUGGUUGCGAUAGAGAGUAGGGAAAAAGUGGUGAUAAAAAAAAAAUUAUAGAGAAAAGAAUAAGAAUAAUAAAAAGUAAAAAUAAAAAAUAGUUUUUUUCCUACAGAAAAGAUCAAAAAAUAUAGAAGAAAUAAGAAAAUAAUGAAAUUGCACUAUUAAAAUAAGAUUACACUUUUUUAAAAAAAAUUUGCACUGCUUUGAUAAAAAAUUACACUAUUUUAUAUAAAAAUUACACUCUUUUGAAAUAAAUUUUACACCCUUUAGACCAAAUUUGUACUAUUUAGAAAAAUUUUGCAUCAUUUUGUUUCCCUUUCUUUUUCUCUUCUUCUUCUUCUUUUUCUUCCUUUUCUCUUUCUCUUUCUCUUCUUCUUCUUCUUCUUCCACCACCCUCUCCUGGGGCAGCGAGUUCGACAUCAGCGGACCUCAUCCUCGGGCAGCGGGUUCGACGUCAUCAAGUGUGCCGCCUCCGUCAUGGCGUAUGCCUCCAGCACCGGUGCGUCCAGUGCCGCCUCUAGGAGCGCCAACACUGCUGGGGCCAGCAACGCACUGCAGUUUCACACGAACCGGAGCUGCAGGUAAGCCCUCUCUGGCUCUGGCUGCGCCGCAUGCCGAUCCAACAGGAACUGGUAGACCGUCAGCACCACAGUGUACCACGUGGCGCCUGCCGCGAGCAUCUCGCCCUAGAAUGCCGACGCCGAGAAGCGCCCCUCGGCUGGGAGCGCCGCGGCGCCGCCCGCGGCGAGCAAGCUAAGCAGUGCCGCGGCGAGCAAGCUAAGCAGUGCCACGACGAGCCCAUGGACGUGGAAGAGCAGGAGCACCACCACGGUCGCGUCCGACUCGCUAUGCCGAUACACGGACCGGAUGUUGUUGAUCGACGCGGCCAGGUUGAGCUGGGUGAGCGGGACCCCCUUGGGGACCGGCCUGCAUGCCGCCAGCCCCUCCUCCGCCGCCGCCAUCGUCGCCUCCCCCGCGCCCUCCUUCCCCUCCGCCGCCGCUGCGAGGUUGGCCUCCUUGACCACGGUGACGAUCCGCGACUCCAGGCACCGAAUUGCUGCAAGAAACUUGGAGGAGGAAGAAGAAAAAUAGAAAGAGAAAUAUUGUAAACUGAAAGAAGUAGAGGAAGAGAAAGAGAAAUAGUGUAAAUUUCACCUAAAUAGUGCAACAUUGUUCUAAAGAGUGUAAAUCUGAUAAUCUGAUCUAAAGAGUGUAAUUUCUGUCUGAAAAUAGUGCAAUUUUCAUUUAAAAUCGUGCAAAAAAAAUUUUAAACAGUGUAAUUUUAUUUUAACAGUGCAAUUUCAUCUUCUUCUAUAAUUUUUGAUCUCUAUCUCUUUCUUUUUUUCCUUCUUCUAUAAUUUUUUUGUUCACGCCUCUCCGCCAAUGGCCACGGCGUCGUUGCCGCCGCCGCCGCUAAGAACCCCCCACUCCGAGGUUGCGUCGCCACAGCGAGGUUGCGGCGUUGACGUCGUCGGAAGUGGCAGAGGAGCAAAAAAGAGAGGGCGAGAAGGUCGGGGAAGGGCAAGAGAGGGUGAGAGAGGCGUCGUCAUUGGAGGCAGUGGAGGAGGGUCAGAGGAGAAUAAAAAAAGAGUCGUGACGCGAUCUCGGCGGGGUUGGAGGCAAGGAAGGCGCGAGGUGUGCAGGCGAGGGCGAAGGCAUGAGGGUGAGAGGCGAGGCGGGCUGUUUCCGCUUCCGUCUUUGCCUCCGCUGCCUUCUUUGGACAGAGAAAAAAAAGAGAACGAGAGAAAAAAAAAGAAAGAGAGAAAAAGAUAUAAGGGUAUUUUGGCCAGUUUGCUAAAAGUUCGGACCGAAUCUACAAAAUCGAAAAAGACGACUUAGUUAACUUAUUUCUAUAACUCCCAAUAUUAAGUUUGUCACUAAAUACUUGUAACUUGUGAUAACUUAAUUCUUGUAACUCCUAAAAAUAUGAAGCCUAUAUAUAGUCAGGUAUAUAUGGAAGCUUCUCUAUUCUUUGAACAUAUAACGAAAAUAAUACAAUUCUAUUUUCACUAUCUCUAUUCCACUUGAUUGAGAGAAACCAAAAAAUGUGUUCUUUGUUGGUAGAGUUUUGGACUCAUCUACUGAUGCAGAGUUGAUGAAUCAGUACAAUAAGAGUCGAACCAUUGUAUAAUGAAUGGGACAAGUAGGUAUUAUAUUACAUCAGUUUAAGGAGUUUGCCAACUGCGAAGGGCUUUAAUCUCUUCUUAAAAAAAGUGGAAAAAACUUCAAAAACCCUCCCUGUGGUUUUGUACUUUUUCAUUUCAGUACCCUGUGGUUUAAAGUAUAUCAAGUUAGUACCAUGUGGUUUCUCACUUUCUCACUUUCUCACUUUCUCACUUUAGUACUCUGUGUUUUAAAGUGUAUCAAGUUAGUACCUUCUGGUUUUAUUUUUGUAUCAAGUUAGUAUCCUGUGAUUUUUUAAAUCACAGGGUACUAAAGUGAGAAAGUGCGAAACCACAGGAUACUAAAGUGAGAAAGUGCGAAACCACAGGAUACUAAAGUGAGAAAGUGUGAAACCACCGGAUACUAAAUUGAUACACUUUAAACCACAUAGUACUAAAGUGAAAAGGUGCAAAACCACAUAGUACUAACUUGAUACACUUUAAACCACAGGGUACUAAAAUAAGAAAAAGUGAAACCACAAGGGAGGUAUUUGAAGUUUUCCCAAAAAAGUGAGAUUUUUGCGUCUCGACUUGAUCAACUCGUCCACACUUUUCAUUCUUUUGUAAUAUAACUUCUAUGUUUGUACAUUUACACCACAUAUUGUUACUAAAUGGUCCAAAUAUAAUGUCCUUCCAGUUGUGGUCUAUAAUAGUAGAUCAUUUGAAAAGUGAUACCGAUUAUCUAGUAUCCAGAGGAGACAUUUUUGUCUUUUGACACAUAAAUCAGUAGGCUCUUGGUCUAACAUUAAAGAAAAUGAGAAAUCCCUGCAUGCUAGUGCGAGAAAUCUCUCUCCUCUCAGUUCAAACAGGCUAUAUAUAGUUGAAGGGGUCUCUUCAUAUUUUAUGGUCAAAAUUUAUAUAUUUUGUCCUAUAAUUAAAUUGUACCUAAUUAACGGACCAGAUUUAUUUAAUCAAGAUUUAUUUGAUUUAUUCUACUAAAAUAUUAUGGUCAAGGUAUCAUGUAACUUUAAAAUUUAAAUUGCAUGGUUUAAAUAUAAAUUGUACAAUCUAGAUUAUUUCUUUUAAGAUUUGUUUUAUUAUUCUUCUAAAAUUUUGCGGUCCAUCUAAUCUAUUCUAAUUUUAAAAUUUAAAUCAUUUUUAUAGUCUAGAUAUAUUUUCUUCGCAUUAUCGAUUUAUUCUAUGAAAAUUCUUUGAAAUUUAUUUACAACUUAAAUUUUAAAUUAUAAUCUGCAAUCUUAUUAUUUUAAAAGAUCAAUUUUUACUAUUAAAAUUUGAAUUAAUUUAGCCCAUGCAAUUUUAUUGUAAGAAUAAAAUUUAAAUUAUACCCCUAUAUUCCUAUCGAAUCAAAUAUUUUCCUUUUACUAUUAGGAUUCAAAUUAACAUCUUCACGAGUAAAAUAUAUUGAAGUUAAGUUUUCCUUAAAUAAUAGUUAUACUAAUAUAUUAUUUUAUCCUAAUUACUUAAUAAAAAAAAUUUAAUAUUUUUUUAGAUAGUACUGCAAACUGCAAAACCUAUGUUUAAUUUCUCUUGCAAAUUUAGAUAAUUAAACGUGAGAACUGAGAAAUAGGUUGAUCCGACUUUCAAUUUUUAUUACUUCUCUAUGUAUUAGAAUUGAAAAAAUAAAUAUGUUAAAGCUUCACAAGAUUAAUUCUAUGCAAAACAUAUGACCAAAAUUGCUGCAUAAUUAGUAAUUUCAUUUGAAGAGAGGAGUUGUGAGCCCCCAGAUAGUCUUACAUAUAAGAUAUAAUAGAUCUAAAACUCUUAACCCGACUUAAAGAUUUUCGGUGGUGGAUAGGGCCAAAAGGUUAAGAGAGUUAAGCGUGUUAGGACGAAAGUAGUUUUAGGAUGAGUGACCUCCUAGAAAGUUGGGGCGUCACAGUUGGUAUCAGAACCAAUUACCAACCGAAAUUGUGAGAUAAAUUUUGGCUGAGUCAGGAUCGGAAUGACAAGGUUAGCGAGACAAAUCUCACAUCGUCUGAUACUUGUGAGUCUGAGCCUGACGAGAAUGUCAAGGCUUAAAGGGAGGAGAAUGUGGGCCCCCCUAUAUAUAAGAUAUAAUAUGUCUAAAACUUUUUACCCGACUUAAAUAUUUUGGGUGGUGCCUAGGCUCAAUAAGUUAAGAGAGUUAAGCGUGUUUAAGACGAGAGUAGUUCUAGAAUGGAUGACCUCCUGAAAAGUUGGGGCGUCACAGGAGCCCUCUCAAUUAUUUGGGAAAGUGUAUGAGUUUUAAUUGCAAAAACUAAAGCUUCUAGAAAACUUGGAUUGCAUAAUAUCAACAAAACUUUUAAUCAAGGAUUUAAGUGCCGUGGUACAGAAUCGCGCCAAAACUUGCCGGCAUGGUGUGUGUUCUACCGUGUCGAUACGUGUCAAUCACACAAAAUUCAUGUAUGCCAAUACAAAAUAGUAUAAAAUAUUUAUUUUCUUCAGUAACAAAAUAUUCUAACUAUUUAUUAUAUAUUUUUAUUAAAUAUUUUGAAUUUUAUUUAGAAAAUUAUUUAUUAAUUCAAAGAAUAGAGGGUUUUGAGCUGUGUCAUCGACACGAAGCUGUAUCGUGUUGAUACGAUAUUUCGUUGGCACGAUACGGUACGAUAAAUGCAAUUUAUGUAGAUGGACACUUAAAUCCUCGCUUUUAAUCACUUUCAGUGGAAAAAGAUUUCUUCAAUGGGUCACCCACUGAAUCACCCCAUAAACUAAUUAAAGUGUUAAUUUAAUUUGGCUUAAGAAGACAAUAUUUAAUUUUGUUACGUUGAUCCGUUCUCACUUAAUUUUGACUCGAAGUCACCUCAGUAAUGAACUAGUAGGUGAUUGAGAUUGCGAGUAGAGUGCUUGUGAUGACCCGAUCCGUUAGCAAUAAUAAUUUAUUGAAUCUAAACCAUCAGCUCAAGAUACUUAAGUUUAGUUUUUAUUAAUAGCGUGUAAGUUUCAUAUAUUCUAAUAAGCAUCAAUUUUUUCAUCCAAUGUGAGACUAUUGAGUGUUACAGUGCAUCAGAGCGCACGGAUACGGAAAAAAAGUGUAUAUAUAAUGUUUAUUUCUAUAAGUGAUAAAAUAUUAUCCAAAUCGUACUGAUUUGAUCAAGAUAUGAUCAAGUUAUGCCAGUCCCGUCAGAAAAUAGUGAAGUAUAUAUUUACAAUGGAAGUGAUAACUACACACUACCAUACUGUACUAAUUUGGUGCUAUUUUUAUGGCAUAUAAUUUUUUUUAGAAAGCAAUAUUAUAUGAUUAUGUUUUAUCGAACUCUACACUGUAAACUCUACACUGUAUUUUAAAUUUAGUUUUCUUUUUCUAUCUUGUUCUAUUUUUUUCUUCGUGCAUAUUACUAAACUAUUUUUUCCUCGCUAAUUUCUAUAUUAUCAUUAACAAAUCUAUUAUUUUAAACAAAAUCAAACUACUUUACUAAAAGACUAGUUAAAUAGUAAAAAAAUAAUAAAAUAAAUUUUCAUGAUAACAUUGAAAUUUUUAUUAAAUUAUUUUCAAAUUUGUUUUUAUCAUUCUUAUAAAUUUUUUUUUUUUUUUGUAAAAGUGGUUACUAUAUAUAUAUAUUAAUAUUGAUAUAUAUAUAAUAUAUAUCUAUAUAUGCUUUUGCACUUUUAAUAUAUUUUAAAUUGCUUCAUAUGAAAUUAUAAUAUUUAUUGUAUUCGUGUAGGAUUGAAAGAAAAAAAAAAAAAGAAAAAAGAAAAAAAAAAGAUAUUUGAAUGUUGCCUUAAAAAAAGGCUAAAUUACAGAAAGCCUCCCUAUCAAAAUCUGAUUUUUCUCUUUCCUUCCCUGUUAUUUAAAAACUUACAUUUUGCCCGGCCCCUUCUAAAAUGAAAAAUGUUCACUUCAUCCCUACCGUUAGUGAUCUGUUAGUGUUCCGUUAUAAAUAUUUUUAUGCCAAAAAUACCCACCGCCCUCUAUUGUGUUUCGUCCUCCUCUGCCUCGCCGCCUCGCCCUCCUUUACUGCCUCGCCCUCGUCCACAUCUCCGUCCAUACCCACAAACACCCUCUCGCCCUCCUCCGCUGCCUCGCCUUCGCCCUCGUUGCCCUUGCCUAUCUUUCCAUCCACGCGCACCUCGAUUUCCUCCCUACUAUCGGCAAAAUGGAGGGGCGACGAGGGUGCCAGAGGAGAAGGGGAGCAGGUGGAGAAGAAAAUGGAGAGGAAUCGCGGACGAUCGAGGCGCGAACCGCGGCCGAUCAAGGCGGCGGAUGAGCAAGAUGAGGGAGUAGACAAAAAUGGUGAGGGGCAAAAUAGUUAUUUUGUAAUCACAUUUCACACCGUACCCCCCCUGUGAACAUUUUUCAUUUUACAAGGGAGUAAAGUGUAGGUAUUUGAAUGACAAGGGGAAAAAAUGAAAAAUCGAAUUUUCACAGGAAAGUUUUAUGUAAUUUAACCUUAAAAAAAAUAGUAUAGUGUACGUAGAAAGUAACACCUCCUUAAUUGGUGUUUCUAAGUUUUUAACCCUUGGAUCCACUCCUUGAUUACUAAUACUCUUUGGAUCACAUACUAUUCCACCUACCACCACCUACAACCAUUAUCCCAACGCUAAAUUUCUUCAUCCAAAGGCUAAAAACUUAAAAGCACCACCUCUUUGGUGCUUUUGAAAGUAUUAAUUCUAGCUCAACUCUCUCUCUCUCUCUCUCUCUCUCUCUCUCUCUCUCUAUAUAUAUAUAUAUAUAUAUAUAUAUAUUAGUAGAGCUUAAAUACUAUUGAUAGUACUAGAAUAGUAUUUAUUAUCAACUUUUCGACCAUUUAAUUAAUGCCUGAGGUUUAGUGGGGUUUGGUGGAUUAGUAAUAAUCUAAGAGUGAAAAAGUUGAUAAUAAAUACUAUUCAUAAACUAUUAGUAGUUUACUAGCUCAAAUAUAUAUAUAGAGAGAGAUACUCUUAUGAGUACGAAUGCUCUCAUACUCAUAAGUCGUUUUCGAUGAUAAAACUUUCGAAUCGACGAUCCAUAUGCUUAAAUAUUAUCUAAAAUAUUUCAAACUUCUAGAAAUCAAAUAUUAUAAUUUUCGACAACAUUUACCUUACGAUCAAAAGGUCAUAAAUUGGCAUUUUUAACGACCGUUAUGAAAUAUUUACUAGUUUAACGGUGUAAAAGAAUUGGAAUAGAUUGAAUUUUUAAUAAAAAUUCUAUUCGCUUCCUAGAUAAAGAUAAAUAACUCCGAUCUUAAAUUAAAAUAUCCGAUCAUCCAAUUCUAGGGUGUCGUCCGAUUUUGGCUAUUCAUUUUAUGCACGCUUGAUAGGCUUUAUUAUGAUUUGGAAAAAUUACGAAAUUUAUUUUUUAAAAGUUUAAAAUACUAUAUAUCAUAUUUAAUGGAGUGAAUCGUCGAUUUAGAAGCCCCAUCAUCGAAAACAACUUAUGAAUACAAAGGGUUCUAUACUCAUAAAAAUAUAGUAGCCUAUAUAUAUAUAUAUAGAGAGAGAGAGAGAGAGAGAGAGAGAGAGAGAGAGAGAGAGAUUUAGGUUGAUAUGCUAUCGAUAGUACACAUGCCUCCGUACUACUAAGUUAUUUUCAGUGAUGCGGCUUUCAAAUCGACGAUCGGUUCUUUUAGACUUGAUCUAUAUUAUUAAAAGUAUUUAAAAACUAAAUUUUAUAAUAUUUUGACAUUAUUUACAUAUCAAACGAGUAAUUUAAAAAUAAACGAUUGAAAAUAAACAAUCUUUGGUUCGGGUUCGGCAAUAAUUCGGUUUAAAUCAAACAGUUCUCGCUCCGUAGAAUAUUAGGCGGUCCUCGUAACCAAAGGGGCCCUAUUAAGUCAAAUAGUCUCUUUUUUCUUUUUCUUUUUUUGCUUUUUUUUUUAAGAAAAAAAAGUGAAUAGAGAAGUCCUAUUCAAGGGUACAUGUAAAGUAAAGAGGAGUGAUAUAUGGAGCAAGCAAACAAAAGGAAAAACAAAGGUACUGUACAGAGCAUCUAAGUCAAUAAAAAUCAGCAGCUAAGUCAAAGAGAAGUACAUUGCCACUCCUACCCCUCCUAGAAGGGAUUAUUAUAUUAUAUACAUAGGUAGUUGAAAUUUCUUGGACCCUAGAUAUGUUGUAAUAUAUAUAUAUAUAUAUAUAUAUAUAUAUAUAUAUAUAUAUAUAUAUAUAUAUAUAUAUUAGAUANUAUAUAUAUAUAUAUAUAUAUAUAUAAUUGAGCUAGAAUAUUUUUAAAAAUAACAUUUUGGUGCUUCUAAGUUUUUAAUCUUUUGAUCUACUUCUUGAUUAUUAACAGUCUUUGGAUCAAACACUAUUUCACCUACCACCACUUACCACCAUCUAAUACCAUCAUUUCAGCCCUAUAUUUCUUCAUCCAAAGAUUAAGAACUCAAAAGUACCACCUCUUUGGUGCUUUUGGAAGUAUUCUAGCUCCACCAUAUAUAUAUAUAUAUAUAUAUAUAUAGGCUGGGGCUACUAUAUUUUUAUGAGUAUAGACCCCCUUAUAUUCAUAAAUUUUUAACUGUUGAUUGAUGGGAUGUAUGAUUAGGAUGGUGGUGGUCCCCGCUUAGAAUGAUAGUGGUCCCCUAGGGUUGAGUGGGUAGUUGGUUUAAUAGUAUGAUCCAACGGUUGGAAAUAAUCAAUGAAAUAAAUAGAAUGCUUAAUAGAGUGCACUCAUAAUUUCAAGAGAGCAGAAAUCUUUGUUUGCACUUUAUGUAUACUAAUAUUUUAUACACUGCAAAAAUAUAUUAAAUAAUUGAUAAAAUAUCUGAUAAUUAGUAUUGUAAAAUAUAAAAAAAAUAUGAUGUAUUUUUUAUAGCCGGUUUACGAUGCACCGGAUGCAUCCAAAACGCCUGUGAGCUAUAUGGCAAGCUCUCGUUGGUUGUUGGUACAAGUGAAGAUCGUUCGUACGAACCAUCAAUUUAUAUUAUCUUAUAGAUAGAUACCUUUUAUAGAUUAUUAUAGAUAUGAUCCAUUAAUAAUUUCCUUGUCGAGAAGUCUCAAAAGGGUAUUGGGACAGUUGAGAUAUUGUCCCAGGAAGCAAGGGAAACAGCUUAACCAAAAAGUAGCUCACUCCCCACCCAUCCACAAUUUCCCACCUUCCCACAUCUUUGUUUAACACCCUCAAGCUACCCCCAUCAACCCAAGCGCAUGCUUAUUUAUUGCCCUUCAGUCCUUGUACACUCUCCUCUCCCCUCCAAUAUUCCCCUGCCAAUACACCAAAUUGAACACAUUGUGCUUGUUUUGCCAUGGCUAAGGCUUUGAGGGCUUGUGUGUUCUUGCUAAGGCUCUUCGCGGCGGCCGCGACGCUCGUCGCCGCCGUCGUCAUGGCGACUAGCCAUGAGACCACCUCCUACUUUGGUUUCACCAUGGAGGCUAAGUUCCAAUACACAAGUUCAUUUGUGUAAGUAUAUAUAUAUAUAUAGUUUUCGUUGUUGUAUUGUAAAUCUCACCAAGAGGCUUAAUUUGUACAUGAUGUAGGUUCUUUGUGAUAGCUAAUGCCAUAGCAAGCGGGUACAGUUUGCUGGUUCUCUUGAUUCCUUCCACAAGCUCUUUCUCGAGAUUGGUCAUUGCGACCGAUGUGGUAAGAGUUUCUCUUUGUAUUCGUCACCGGAGCACAUCAGAAGUAAUCUUAACAUUUCUGCUCACGCACAUCAGGAAACACACCUUAAGUAGCCAUUCGAUCUGGGGAAUUGGACUCGGUGACCAAUCGAGGACUAUGGUUUAGCAGUAAUCUUAAUUGUGCUGAUCAUGUUGACAUAUUAGCCACUAGCUAGCUAGCUAGCUAGCUAGGGGCCAUUUGAAUCAAUGUAAUUGCAAUUCGGCCACAAGCCAGUUUUAGUUAAAAAUAGAAAUGUACUAAUGACUCGCUUGAUUGAUCACCACUGCUCGUUAAAAAUUAAGUUCCAAAUAUAUUUAAUUUGAAACUUUUCAACGAAGGAAUUGCGGAUACUAAUUAAGUAUUCUAAUCAUUCCUUUGAGUUUUUUUUUUUUUUUUUUUUUUUUUGAAGAAAAGAUAGUAUACUAUCUGCUUCAUUCAUUAAAAAUAUCAAUUAAGCAAUAUGGAUGAGGUAAAAAAAUCUCCGCAGAAGUAAGAAGCAAGAAGCAAGAAGCAAGGAAGAAAAAAAAAACUAAGAAUGUUUGCUUUUAGAGAAUAGAAUAAUCUUUCACUGAAUUGCGAACGUCUUGAUCUUAACUACCAUCGUCAGAGAGUAUGCAUAAACAUUUCUAAAUAUAGCACUAUUCCUUGAAUCUCAUAUGACCCACCAGUAGGCUAUCAGACUGGUUAAUCUAUAGUUACGUAUACUAUUCCUUUGAGUUACAACUAAUCUACAUUUAAGUACGAUUCAAACACAUCUACUCAAAACAUUUCCCAUCUUAUAAUAUAUAUGUAGAUCAUAGGAAUGCUACUCACCAGUGCGGUGGCGGCGACGGGAGCGCUGUCGGAGCUGGGGAAGAACGGAAAUCAGCAUGCGGGAUGGCUGCCGAUCUGUGGGCAAAUACACGAAUUCUGCAACCAUGUUAUGGGAGCUCUCAUUUGUGCCUUCGUCGGUCUCCUCAUCUACCUCCUCAUCCUUUUCCAUACUUUCUACGUUGUGAUCAACCCUCUUUUCCCAUGAGUUUUCUUUCUUUCCCCCUUUUCUUUUUUUUCUUUGAACACGCGGUCUUUUUACCAUAUACUAUGAAAGAUCACGUACGUGUCUCAACGUCCUGUUAGGAACGGCAAGUUCCAAAUAUAUAUACUUAUGUGGUUGCAUGUUUUUACCAAAUACGUGAUAAAGUACAUGCAAACUUAUAAAAGUUUCAGUUUAAACUUAUAUUGCGGAAUUUAAUUUUCAGUUUAUUUUAAUAAUUGUGAUGCCUACUUUUAAAUUUGCAAUUUUUUAUAAAGUAGGAAAUAAUGUAAAGAGUACUGAUUCGAUCAAAAUCUGAAAGAUAUAUGACAAGGCAAUGACCGAUAUAACUAGGGAUGCAAAGGGGAAGGAUCCGGAAGGGGGAGAUGUCUCCCAUCAUUUGCUUCAUUUUUUCUUUGUCAGAUCGGAACGGCUUCGUGACGGAUUAAUUUUGACCGUAUUUUUUAUCUCCACUUAUUGCUCCAUUCGGAGCAGAUCAGGGCUGGAACAUAUUUUUAUUUUUAAUAGAUUGGGACGGAUCUGGGUGGAUCUGGGGCCUCCCUCUCCAUUACACGACGAAUCUGUGUGAAUUUGGGACAAUUAUAUUUUUCUAUAUGUUUUUUUUCCACUUACGGCUCCAUUCAGGAUGAAUCAGGGCGGAAGCUCCGCCAACCCAGAUCCAUUUGCACCCUUACUGGUAAGCUAAUUUAAAUAUGGUGACCUAAGUGAAAUUUCAUCAUUGACAAAAGUGUAAUUUACCCAAAUUUGUUUUGUGGUGAGUGUAAUUGCUUCUCGUAAUCUUCUCUCAUAUGGUCACACAUGUAUCUACUAUAGAGCAUAGAAGGACAAAGAGCCAGUAGCUAUAUGCAAUUAAUGUGAUGUACAUUCCCUUGUUAGUGGGUAUUUGGUUUCCCCGAAAAGUGUGGAAAAUUAUUUUCCACCAAUAACUAUUUUUCAAAAAAAAUAUUUUUUUUUUGUAGAAUCUAGGAAAACAGAUUUGAAAAAAUUAUACUUUUACUGGAAACAAACAGUACGCAAAAUACCAGAAAUAAUUUUCUAUGAAACCAAACAUCUUAAUGAUUAUCAUUAGAUCACAACAUUAUGGUCAUUCAUAUAACUCAAUGUUUGGUAAACUAUAAUACCUACUUAGGUCGUAGAUACCAUGAUUAUUACUGACAGCGAUUUUCGUUUUAUUGGCUACAGAUUUAGGUUUGGUAAGCUAACUUUGUCUGAUGGCACCUAUCCUCUAGCAUAUUAAUUGCCUAAUUAACUCCGACAUUAUAUUUGUUAGGCCAAAUAAUUAAAUUGUUGAAAAAAAAAAAAGUUUGAACUUAAUUAUUCACACCGAAAGCAAAACUAUAAUGAAAGGGAACGUAAGCAACUCGAUUUGGGUUCUUCGUUAGGACUUGACCUCCUAAAAGAGAUGCAUUCAGUCACAUAAAAACUUCGAAUCUUUGAAUAUGGAUCGAUUCGGUUGGAUUGUUGUACCCCGAAAGACUACAAUUUCAGCUAAUAAUCUGAAUUAUGGUCGAAACCUACGAAAAAGCUUUCCGAAAAAAAAAAAAUAUAUAAAUCUAGCUAACUACUUAAUUUGUUCUAGAAUUAAAAUUAUCGAAAAUUAUUAAAGCUACCUGUCCCUCCACCCUUCUCUUCGGGGAGUAUUUAUAAUCCUUGAAAUCCAAAUCCUAUAAAAUCUCGGCCGAAUUUCGAAAUCUUCUCUUACACUUAUUUCUUUUGUUAUAAUGAAUUACCGAGAUUGUUUGAUACAACGGCUUUAAUUUUUCCCUUCUGAUUUAAAUUUAUCUUCCAUUUUUAGGUAUAAGCAGUCCAUUUGGCCUAGAUUCUGAAAAAAUGAUUUCUAUAGGAUUGAUUUUGAUUUGAAAAUUUGAUUUUGGUUAAAAGUUGUAUAGUGUUUGACUAAGUUGAGAUAAAAGUAACUUUUUUGAAGUAAUUUUAUAAAACUAUUUGGAAAAAAAAAAAUUUAUAGUCAUGCACUUAUUAUACCCUAUAACUUUAAAAAUUAAUACAAAUAGGCCAAAAUGUUAGUAUUUUGAUUUAAAACAAGUGAUUUAAAACUUCUUUAUAUGCUCAUAUGUUUUAAAACUUCAAUUUGGCCUUUGGACUUUGUGGGCAGCCUACUGUCAAUGGGCCUUGCCUGGGAGCCCAAGCUUUGGUCUCUUUUCAUGUGGUGUUUAGUCCCACAUUGGAAAGAGACCCUCACUUGCUCUGGUUUAUAUUCUACUUUAUUCUCAUUGUUAUUACUUGGGAAGUGAUGAGAGUGGAGCUCUCGUCUAAAUACACGCACACGAGCACGAGCCGAGCCGGGCCGGGCGGCGGCGCGCGUGAACCCGGUUCACUUUAUUUUUGUUACACUUUUCAUUUUAUUAUUUUAUUUUUGACCUUACCUGGAUUAGGUCCAGAUUUGGUCCAGUCGAAGGGUCGCACCUCGGGACUCAACCAGCCCCAACGGUCUACCUCGGGAAGGUGGUCUUCCCGUUGGAACCCUUCUUUUGCUCUCCUAUUUACUAGGGUGAGUGGCUGGGUUAGGACAGUAGUGACAUACAGAAACCCUAGCCUGAGCUUCUCCCCCUUUCUCUCUUCUCCUUCUUCUUCACUGUUUUGCUGGAUCUCUGAAAAGCUGUGACGGUUCGUUCUUGCACCACCCUGAAGCCGUGCCGACGGGGUGGACGAAGGUCGUUGUAUCGCUAGGAGUGAUUGCCGGCGCCUCGUACGUGGAGGGGCAAUCUUGCUUCUAGGACAGUGCAAUCGCACGCCUCGACUCACAGGCUCCAUCUAAUCCUUUAUUCUCUAUAGUUUUUAUUUAUUUCGUUCUUAAUCAACGUUUCUAAAAACAGUGGAUAAGUUGUUUUCAAACAAAACUGUUUAUACAAAUAUUUGACUAAAGAUUUCAAAAGAGAACUAAUUUUUCCAACAUUCUAGAAGCAAGAUUUUAUUUUCUCUUUCUGUCUUCUUUAGUUUACUGCGUAGAAUACUAUUUUGGCUGUAGGAUAAUAUAUAUGUGCAUGAAACUGAUAUUGCUAUAAUUCGGAAUAUAUAAACCUAAAUAUAUGCAUGCUGUUUUUUUUUAGGUUUACUUGAAAUACUGCUGAUAAUUAAGAUUGUAAUACUGCUAAUAUAAAUAAAUAUAUAUAUAUAUAUUUAUCUGCAUGAUCAUACUGUUACUAAACAUUGUUUAGAAAAAUUUACUGUUAUAUCUGUAAAACUUGGAACAGUCUUGUGAUAUUAUUUUAGGAUUACUUGAAAACAGAUUUGUCAUUAUGGAGGACUCGUAUUCGGCGAAGCCGUUCACUUUCGAUGGUCGUAAUUUUAAGAGGUGGCAGAACCAAAUGAGGUUCUGGCUCACCACACUUGGGCUUGUGUCUGCUAUCUCGGAUCCUGUCGAGAAUAGCAAUGCACCUUCAGGUGCAAUCCAGCCUACGGGCAACCGACCGUUUACUAGGAGCCAAGCCCAAGCCGGAUCCGCUCUUCCCCCCUCUGAAAAUGCAACUGCACCUCCACCUAUAACUGUACCCCUUGUAGAUCCUAACGUGAUAAACUAUCAUUGCCUGAACCGGAUUCUUAGUACCCUAUCUGAUAAACUGUAUGACAUAUUCUGUAGUGCCCAAUCAGCUAGGGAACUUUGGACAUCCUUAGAAAAUAAGUAUGGUCAGGUUGAUCCUACUCAGAAGAGAUACCAAGCUUCAGAUUUGAUUAAAUUCAAAUUAGUGGAUAGUAAACCUAUGUCUGACCAGCUCCAUGAUUUUGAGUAUAUUGUUGAGCAGCUUAGAUCUAGUGGUAUAAAUCUUGAUGAGAGUUUUUUAGUAGCCACUCUUAUAGAUAAGUUGCCACCCUCCUGGUCUAACCAUGCAAAUGAUCUUAACCAUAACCAAAGAGAGCUUUCCCUGAAUUAUGUCCUAAGAUCCAUUAGGAUAGAAGAGUCGAACCGAGCCAAGGAUAAGAAACCUACUGAACCCACUACCCAAGCCAACCUAGUAGAGAAUCCUAAAAAUAAGGGUAGAAACUUUCAGCCUCAUAGGAACUUUAAGAAGAAGCCUUUCCAUCAUAGAAAGUUCAACCCAAACUUUAAGAAGCCUAAACCUGAUGGGAGUGGGAGCAACUCUGGUUGCUUUGUGUGCGGGAAGACCAACCACUUUGCGAAGGAUUGCUAUUUUCGCAAGACUCGGCCUUCUGCACCCAAGAAGAAGAAGAACGGUCCACCUGAGCGCCAGAUGAAUAUGUUGACUGCUGGACCUGACUCUUCUGUCCCUGCUAUCAGGUUAGGAUCUAGUUUAGCUGAAGUUAACCUUACCUUUAGUUCUUCUGAUUGGUGGAUAGAUACCGGAGCAAAUAUUCAUGCAUGUUCUGAUCGCUCUUGGUUUGCCACUUAUCAGGACUCAUGUGGAGGAUCGGUGAACAUGGGGAAUGCAGCCUCUUCUCGCGUGCUUGGGACCGGUCGAGUGGAUUUGAGACUGACUUCUGGGAAGACCCUAACCUUGCACGGAGUCCACCAUGUUCCCGAUAUUAGGAAGAAUUUGAUUAGUGGUUCUCUUUUAGUUCAGCAGGGUUUUAAGUUAGUUUUUGAAUGUAAUAGGGUAGUUAUUACUAAGGGUGUGGAUUUUGUAGGAAAGGGAUUUUUGAGUGAUGGUUUGUUUAAGUUAUCUGUAUCUCCUCCCCCUAUUAAUGAAAGUGCACUUGUUUUGAAUGUUGUUUCAACUGAUGUUUGGCAUGGAAGAUUGGGACAUGUGAAUUAUAAUACUGUUAAGAGAUUAAUGCAUCUAGAUUUGAUUCCUAAAUCUGAUUUGUCUAAUCGUAAAUGUGAAAUUUGUGUGCAGGCUAAGGAGCCUAGAAAACCUUUUAAAUCAGUAGAUAGAGAUUGUGAUAUGUUAGAACUUGUGCAUAGUGAUGUUUGUGAUGGAACUAGACCUACUAGAGGUGGAAAUAAAUAUUUUGUGACUUUCAUAGAUGAUCAUUCGAAGUAUUGUUAUGUUUAUUUGAUCAAGACAAAAGAUGAGGUUUUGAGCAGAUUUAAAAUUUAUAAAGCUGAAGUUGAAAAUCAAUUAGAUAAGAAAAUCAAGAUUUUGAGAUCUGAUCGAGGAGGUGAAUAUACUUCAAAUGAGAUGACUAUUUUCUGUCAAGAAUUUGGAAUUGUACAUCAAGUGACUGCACCUUAUACACCUCAAUCUAAUGGAGUUGCUGAACGCAAAAAUAGAACUUUGAUGGAUAUGGUAAAUUCGAUGAUUAUUAGUUCAGGUGCACCCGAGAACUUGUGGGGGGAAGCUUUGAUUUCUGCAUGUGUGAUUUUAAAUAGGAUUCCCCACAAGAAUUCUAAUAUUUCUCCUUAUGAGCUUUGGAAAGGUAGGAAGCCUAAUUUGAAUUAUUUUAAAGUGUGGGGGUGCCUAGCUAAAGUUAAGAUACCUGAGAACAAGAAAAGGAAGAUUGGUCCUAAGACUGUAGAUACAGUUUUUAUAGGCUAUGCUUUAGAUAGUAACACCAACAGAUUUCUAGUGGUGAAUUCUGAGAUUAGUGAGAUUUCUAAUAAUACCAUUAUUGAAGCUAGAGAUGCAGUGUAUUUUGAGGAUAUCUUUCCUUUUAGGACUAGAGUAGAUAGACCUACUCCAGUUGAGCAUGUAGGUAGCUCUAGUGGUCCUAGAGUUAGUGAGCCUACAGUAGAGGUUGAACCUAGGAGAAGUAAGCGUCCUAGAGUAGAGAAAACUUUUGGAGAUGAUUUUUGUGUCCUACUAGUUGAAGAUACUCCUUCUACCUUUGACCAAGCUAUGAAGUCUGUAGAUGCAUCUUUUUGGAAAGAGGCUAUUAAUCUUGAGAUGCAAUCUAUUCUACAGAAUCAUACUUGGGAAUUAACAGAUUUACCUAUAGGAUGUAAGCCUGUAGGCUGUAGAUGGAUCUUUAAGAAGAAGUUGAGACCUGAUGGUUCUGUAGAAAAGUAUAAGGCUAGACUAGUGGCUCAAGGUUUUGCACAGAAGCCAGGUGUAGAUUAUUUUGAUGUGUAUGCACCUGUUGCUAGAAUUACCUCUAUCAGGAUAUUGUUGGCCUUAGCUUCUGUCCACAGUUUGAUUGUGCAUCAGAUGGAUGUUAAGACAGCUUUUCUGAAUGGUGAUUUAGAUGAGGAGAUCUAUAUGAAGCAACCUGAAGGAUUUGUAGUUUCUGGACAUGAAAAUAAAGUGUGCAAAUUGACGAGAUCUUUAUAUGGACUUAAACAAGCUCCUAAGCAGUGGCACUUGAAAUUUGAUUCUUUAGUUGUAUCAAAUGGAUUUCAUGUAAACAUGUCUGAUGAAUGUGUAUAUUCAAAGGAAUAUGAUGGACAGAUUGUGAUCCUGUGUUUAUAUGUUGAUGAUAUUUUGAUUUUUGGUACCAAUAUAAAUGUGAUACAUGAUGUGAAGAAAUUACUGAAUGAGAAUUUUGAUAUGAAAGAUCUUGGGCAAGCAGAUGUAAUUCUCAAUAUGAAGAUCAUUAGAGAAUCAAAAGAAAUUGUUAUGAGCCAAUCACACUAUAGUGAACAGUUAUUGAAGAAGUUUGGAUAUUUUGAUGUUAAACCUGUAGUGACACCUUAUGAUUCUAGUGUACAUCUUAAGAAGAAUAGAGGUGAUCCAAUUGGUCAGAAUAGAUAUGCACAGAUUAUAGGAUCUUUGGGAUAUCUAGUAGACUAUACUAGACCUGAUUUGGCUUAUGCUGUAAACAGAUUGAGAAGAUAUACCCAUAAUCCGAAUAGAGAUCAUUGGAAUGCUUUAGAAAGAGUUUUGAGGUAUCUAAAGGGAACUAUAUCUUAUGGAUUACAUUACAGUGGCUUUCCUGCAGUACUAGAAGGAUAUAGUGAUGCAAAUUGGAUUAGUGAUACAGCUGAUGUAAAGUCUACUACUGGAUUUGUUUUUCUCCUAGGAGGAGCAGCUGUUUCUUGGAAGUCAACCAAACAAUCUUUGAUUGCUAGAAGUACUAUGGAAUCUGAACUUAUAGCAUUAGAUACCACUGUAAAAGAGGCUAAGUGGAUAAGAGAAUUUCUUUAUGAUUUGCCACUGAUGGAGCGACCUUUAGCACCAGUGUGUAUUCAUUGUGAUUGUAGAUCUGCAAUUGAUAAAUGUGCCCAAGAGAAUGUGGAGACUAAGAUGAAUAGAUUUAUGAAAGUGAGACAUAAGUUCAUUCGACAGAAUAUGAAGGAGAAUGUAAUUGCUUUGGAAUUUGUGAGAUCUGCAAAGAAUCUGGCUGAUCAGCUCACCAAGGGAUUGUCUAGGACUGUGAUCCUAGAAUCGUCGAGGGGGAUGGGGCUUAGCCCACAAUGAAAGUUACCGGCGACGGCAACCCAACCUGUUGCAGGUUCAAUGGGUAGAAACAAGUCGAACAGGUAGCUGUGAGGAGCACUGUUUUUGUAUCCUCAUCCCUAUGGCGACAGUGCUCAUUUCUGCAAGUGGAUAGGAAGGGCUUUAGCCCUGAAUGGUUCCGAGACCCAUGAGGCAGGGUGUGACCUUACAGACACCCUUCUGAGGACCUACUAUGUGUGUGGAGUUGUGAGGCCGCAACUAUGGGAAGAGGGCGGUUCCCUAAAACACACAUGAAACGAUACUAGCGCAUGGCCGUAAUAGCGCUCACCCGCUUAGAACCUAAAUAGCUGUACCAUGUGUGCGGUUUGUGGAAAUCCGAUUCACCGGCCUUGGUUCAAGGCGAAGUCCACCAUUGUGUCCUCGGAUGUACAUAGACAAGCACUAAGUGAAGGUUCAAACCCGAAAGGUACCUUCGCCGAAUACGUGGUAUAAGAGAUCCAGCAUCCUUUUGAGUUAUUUUUUUUUUUUGAAUUUCAGUUUUCAUUUUUGAAGUUUUAAAUCAUGUGGGGGACUGUUAGUAUUUUGAUUUAAAACAAGUGAUUUAAAACUUCUUUAUAUGCUCAUAUGUUUUAAAACUUCAAUUUGGCCUUUGGACUUUGUGGGCAGCCCACUGUCAAUGGGCCUUGCCUGGGAGCCCAAGCUUUGGUCUCUUUUCAUGUGGUGUUUAGUCCCACAUUGGAAAGAGACCCUCACUUGCUCUGGUUUAUAUUCUACUUUAUUCUCAUUGUUAUUACUUGGGAAGUGAUGAGAGUGGAGCUCUCGUCUAAAUACACGCACGCGCGCACGGCACGAGCACGAGCCGAGCCGGGCCGGGCGGCGGCGCGCGUGAACCCGGUUCAUUUUAUUUUUGUUACACUUUUCUUUUAUUAUUUUAUUUUUGGCCUUACCUGGAUUAGGUCCAGAUUUGGUCCAGUCGAAGGGUCGCACCUCGGGACUCAACCAGCCCCAACGGUCUACCUCGGGAAGGUGGUCUUCCCGUUGGAACCCUUCUUUUGCUCUCCUAUUUACUAGGGUGAGUGGCUGGGUUAGGACAGUAGUGACAUACAGUAACCCCAACCUGAGCAUCUCCCCUUUUCUCUCUCCUCCUUCUUCGUCACUGUUUUGCUGGAUCUCUGAAAAGCUGUGACGGUUCGUUCUUGCACCACCCUGAAGCCGUGCCGACGGGGUGGACGAAGGUCGUUGUAUCGCUAGGAGUGAUUGCCGGCGCCUCGUACGUGGAGGGGCAAUCUUGCUUCUAGGACAGUGCAAUCGCACGCCUCGACUCACAGGCUCCAUCUAAUCCUUUAUUCUCUAUAGUUUUUAUUUAUUUCGUUCUUAAUCAACGUUUCUAAAAACAGUGGCUAAGUUGUUUUCAAACAAAAUUGUUUAUACAAAUAUUUGACUAAAGAUUUCGAAAGAGAACUAAUUUAAUUUUUUCCAACACAAAAGAAUAAAAAGGAAAUUCAUACAUAAUGAGUAGUCUCAAAUAGAAUAAUAAAUGCAAAAAUAAAUGAAUAAUGGAAAAUUUUAUAUGCACGCCUAUAUAUAUAGACGUAAAUCUUAUUAAAUUUGAUAAAAUCUAAUCACUAAAAUCAUCCAAUUGGAAAAAUUCUAAACUAAAGUAAGUGAAUGCCAAACAAAAAAAGGGGAAAAAAAAAAUUAAUGAGGCUCUUUUAGAAUGUCGUAUAGUUGAGGAGGUCCAAAUACAAAAGAGUAAAGUUCAAUUUCCCUUUGUGGAUUAGUGUGUUUCCACUUUGACACCAUGUGGAUCAAAAGUUAUUAUAUUUAACUAUCUACUAAUUUUAUUGGAUUAGUGUGUUUCCACUUUGACACCAUGUGGAUCAAAAGUUAUUAUAUUUAACUAUCUACUAAUUUUAUUUAUAUUUUACACUAAAAAUUUAGUGAUAAAUAGUGUAAUGAAAUGAUACAUUUUUACUGUGUUUGACUCGGGUAUAAAUGCGGGGAUAAGGGGGAUAUCUCCCCCUUUACACCUAAACACAUUUUGGGUUGGGUGGGAACACUUGUCCCCACCCAAACCGGGUUGUACAUUUAAAAUUAUAAUUUUAAAUUUUAAUUUCAAAUUUUAAAUUUUAAAAGUUAAAAUUUUUAAUUUUUAAUUUUUAAUUUAAAAUUAUAAGUUUAAAAUUUAAAAAUUUAAAUUCAAUUAUAGGGAUCAUAUCAUUAUUAUCCAUUUAUAACUAACAACUAUUCAUCUUAUUCCCAAUAACCAUCCAAACGCAAUUUUUCUAAUUCCAACUUAUACUUACAUUUAUAUCCAAAUAAAAAAAUACUUUUGUUCUUAUAAAAAUUCAUACUUAUAUCUAUUCCCGAUAUAACUAGUUCCUACUAAUUUCCGAGCUAAACGGAGCCACACUACAGCAUAGAGAAAAAUUAUUAAAUAGUGAAAUACUAUGUCCGUGGUUCCAUCUCUGGUCUGCACUUUGACUAUUUAUUUUUUAUUAUAAAUUCGUACUAUAAAAUAAAAAUAACAUUGUAGAGUAAUUAAAUAUAAUUUAUUAAUCACCUUAUAUAUAGAGUAAUUAAAUAUAAUUUAUUAAUCAUAGGGGGAUGAAGCCGAAGUUCGUGCUCAACCACACAGAGACAAAUUAAAUUAAGUUUACCCAAAAAGGAAAAGGAAAAAAAUGGUGACAAUUCCUGGCUAACUAUAUUAAAUAAACAGUACAUUGGGACAUUAAUUCCACAAAUAAUAUAUAGAUCAAAAGGCCCUCUCUGUUUGUUAUUAGUACGUUUAUUCCUUAAAAAUACUUUUGUUUUUUUCCCAUUAAUAUUCAUGGGGUAAACCUGAAUUAAUGCAGUGGGUAUAUACCCUUCAAGACUUCGGAUAUAUUUUAAUUUAUUUCUAUUUUUUUUGUUUUAUAUAUAUCCUUCAUACGUUCCUUCGUUAUUCAAAAAUGUCCCCGCAGUUAUCAUUCGUUAAGUUAUCUCAGAUUAAAAAUGAGUUAAAUAUCUAUCAUGGUUAAAAAAAAAAUAAAAUACUGUUUUUACGCUUAACUUAGGGCAAAUAAGAAAAAUUUAUAAUGGUAAGAGGGUAUAUUUGAAAAAAUAAAAAAAUAAAAUACUUCUUGUACUCCCAACUCAAGGAUAAAUAAGAAAAAUUAGUAAAAGUAGAAAAAUAUAUUUGAAAGAAUAAAAUAGUAAUUUUAUAAAGAUAACGGCUGUAGCGAAUAGUUUGCUAACAGAAUUUAACUCUAAAGUAUAUUUGAAAUAAUUUGAAAAAUUAAGAAAAUAUUUUUACUAUUAGUUUUCUAAGAGGGAUAAAUUAAAAAAUCGAAAAUUUUUGGAGAUUUUAUAAAUAAUUGCCCUUAUAUAUUUUUACCGUGGUUUAUUGUAAUUUCAAACGGAGCCUAUAAUAGUAGAUCUCACAUGAGAUAGGCAAUGACCAUGAUGUUGCUUUUGUUACGUGGCCAAGAUUACGAAGAACAAGGAUGAGAAGGAGAAGGAAUUUGAUAUUCCUAUGGAAUGUUUUGUAUUGCUAGAGCAAGAUAGAUCAAACUUGGGUUAGAUCAAACUUGGGUUAGAUACAGAGAAGUGAUAUUUUUGAGAUUUACAUCCCCCGCUUGAGAAUAAACCCAAUUAAAGUCCGAAAUUGAACUCCUAAUUGGUGUCUGAAAUGGAGUGUCUUUUUCUCUCUCUCUGUUUUUUUUUUUUUGUUUUUUGUUUUUACUUCCUCUCUUUAGGCAAAUUGCAUGUUUGGUCCUCAAACUACCAGUCAUUUUACAUUUUGGUCCUAGCUAAGACGUUAAUUUAUUGUAAUAUCUAACUUGAACUUUCAGAAUUGUUACAAUUACUACAAUCCUAUUUAGUUGACUAAAUAUUGAUAAUCGAAUUGCUAAAAUAAAAAUGAUAAAGCAAUAUUGUGAUUAAUUAAUGAUGCGUCUAUAAUUAAGAUGUUAUAUUACUUUGACAUCAGCGAUGAGUUAACAUUUAGUUAAUUAAAUGGUUUGUAGGAUAUUAUUACAACAAUGCUAAAAAUUCAAACCUUAAAUUACAAUAAAUUAAAAUUUAAGAAUUAAACUGUCACGAGACUCACAGUUUGAGAACUAAAUUUGCAAUUUAUCCUUUUAUCCUUUUUUUGAGUCAAAAGAGGAGCAACAUAUUGGCUAAAUUAGCUAGGUUUGAAUUUUUAGCAUUGUUGUAAUAAUAUCCUACANAAGAUGUUAUAUUACUUUGACAUCAGCGAUGAGUUAACAUUUAGUUAAUUAAAUGGUUUGUAGGAUAUUAUUACAACAAUGCUAAAAAUUCAAACUUUAAAUUACAACAAAUUAAAAUUUAAGAAUUAAACUGUCACGAGACUCACAGUUUGAGAACUAAAUUUGCAAUUUAUCCUUUUAUCCUUUUUUAUCCUUUUAUCCUUUUUUUGAGUCAAAAGAGGAGCAACAUAUUGGCUAAAUUAGCUAGGUUUGGAACUUCUUUUUUUUUUCUUUUUUUUUUUGGUUCCUUACAAAUGAUUUUGGAUUAGUGUUGUACUUACGCACAAACCCCACGUACCGAUAAAACUUCAAUAGGAAGCUUCUCAAUGAGUCUUUGGGAGCCCUUAAUUUGCUCCCACGUGUUAAUUAAUUUUACCUCUAUUUAAGAGUAAAUUGGGUGCUUUUAAUACUUUUUUUUGAGAAAAAGGUAGCAUGCUAUCCGCUUCAUUCAUUCGGGACGUGAAUUAAGCUACAUGGGUGAAGCAUCAGGGCCUCAAGGAUGACGAAACAAAGAAAAGAAGGAUGUUGUUUACAAAGUACAGUUAAAUCCGUUAUACUGUCAACAAGAUCUAUCUAUAGAUCAGAAAUUCCCCUACUGAGCCAUUAAGCAUUUGAUCUUAUGGGUCCCAUGUAUAGGGUCCGCCUGGGCCUUCGUAAAAAUCGCUCCGUUCCUAGUCUCCUACACCACCCACCAGCAAGCUAUAAUACCACUUAAACCGUUACUCGUGGGUUGUGCCCCCUUCCGACCUUUCCAAAAAUCCCACACCUGGUGUACGUCAUCUCCCAAGUCUCCUGGUUGGACAUCCUCCAGUGACAUCACCAUAAGGAAUCUAAAGAACACACACUAAGUAAAGAGAUGAUCAAUCGUUUCUAGAUCCGACCCGCAAAGCACACAGCUCGUAUUCCCAAGCCAACCUCUUUUUAACAAGUUAUCUACAGUGAGUAUUUUCUUCUUAAGCACAAGCCAACAGAAAACCUUCACUUUAAGGGGGAUACAAAGUCUCCAAAUCUCAUAAGCCCUGGCAUCCCUCAUUCCUCCAUCACUUAACGCAACAUAUGUAGAUCUCACAGUAAAACGACCAUCAAGGUUCCACCGCCAAUACACACUGUCCUUUCCUUGACCAGUUCUGUAGCUGGAGAUCCUUUCCUUCAGUGCCACGAUGCGUAGGUGUACUCAUUGAACAGUAGUGUUGACGCUACUUAGAAUCUUAUGCCAACACCAUUCAUUACCAUUGGAGCAUUCACUGAUUAACAGGUUUUUAUGGGGCAGGAGAGGGGACAACUCUGGAAAAAAUGACAGAAGUGUGGUUUUCCCACACCACUGGUCCUUCCAAAAAUCAAAACUUUGCCCAUUACCCAAUUUAUAGGACACUCCCCAUUUAAAAAUAUCUUUCUAUCCUAGUACUCCUUUCCACCAAAAGGAGAAUGGUCUAAAGCUCUGACCCUCCUUCAACGGUCUUCUCCCUAGGUAGAACAAUACAUGAAUUAACUUAUUCCAUUGUAGUUCAGGCGCGGUAUAGAAUUUCCACCACCAUUUAACCAGAAGCGCUUGAUUCAUCAAAGCCAUAUCUAGGAUACCAAGCCCACCCUCCUUCUUGCUUCUACAGACGCUCUUCCAAGACACGAGGCAACCCUUGCCAGGCGAGGUGAGGCCACCUUUCCAAAAGAAAUCCCGCCGUAGUGUCUCAAUGCGUUUAACGACCUAUUUGGGUGUCUGGAACACAGCGAGAUAAUAUAGGGGUAGGUUAGUGAGAACAGCGUUAGCUAGAAUGAGUCUACCACCCUGCGACAGUAGUUUCGCUUGUCAUCCAUCGAUUCUACUCUAUAUCUUGCCGAUGAUUUCCCUUCAAUCCUCAUUGGACGGGGGUCUGAUCGUCAACGGCAAACCCAAGUACUUGGUCGGUAAACUACCGAGUUUGCAUCCGAGUAUAUGCGCUAACCUUCUCGCUUUUCCUUCCACCAGGCCCAUAUAAAAAAUUUUCGACUUCUCUCUGUUGAUUCUCAUUCCAGAUGCCCAUUCAAAAAGUUUCCAAAGAAAAAGGUGGUUUCUCAUAUAUCUCUUCUUGGCCUCACAGAAGAAGAAAUAUCAUCUGCAAAUUGGAUAAUGUGGACCCUUGAUUCGUCAGAGGGACCGAUACCGCUAAUAAGGUUGUUCGUUGAUGCUUCAUCCGUUAGCCUGGCAAGGCACUCUGCUAUAAGCAGGAAGAGGAAAGGUGAUAAAGGGUCGCCCUGCCGUAACCCCUUUUCAUCUUUAUCAAGUUCGUUGGUAUGCCAUUAACCAAUAUUGCGACCUUGGCAUUGUAGACACUUAGUUUGAUCCAGUUGAUCCACUUCAUGUCAAAUCCCCACCACUCCAAAGUACGAAAUAGGAAAAGCCAGUAGAUUCGAUCAUACGCCUUCUCAAAGUCCCACUUUUAUCCCGAUUCCCUCAAUCCCCUGCUUACUCCCCCAACCAAAUAGUUCGUGUACCGUUACAAAAGCAUCAGAGAUGUUUCUUCCCUUCAGGAAGGCCAAUUGGAAAUGGGAAUCAGGUUACCCAUAAUAAGCUCCAACCGAUUUGCUAAAACCUUGGAUAGAAUCUUCUGGAUCUCGUUCAGGAGAUUUAUAGGGCGAAAAUCAUUUGCCCGGUUAGCUGCUUCCUUUUUCGGGAUUAGGCAGAUGUAGGCGUAAUCAAUAGGGCUGGUGAUUAGCAUCCUCUCAAACAUCUCGUGAAAAAUAUUCAUGAUAUCCUCCUUUAUAGUAUUCCAAAAGGAUUGGUAGAAACUCAGAGGGAAACCAUCCGGCCUAGGCACCUUGUCGCUGCCUAGCUGAAAAACGGCCUGUUUAAUUUUUUCAGCACUGAAUGGUCUCGUAAUGUGCGUUAGGUUGCUAGUAUCGACCCGCCUUGUCUUAAAGAGCUCACUCCAAUCUCCGAAUGAAGACGGUGCCCAAUCAUCUGGUGUGAAUAGGUUCUUGAAUUUCUGGAAUAGUAAGUUAUGCUUCUCAUCUUCAGAUUGAUACACCCUUCCUUCCUCUUCUAACGAGUCAAUUCUGUUCACUCUUCUACGACUAUUGGCUACAGCGUGGAAGAAUUUGAUAUUACUAUCGCCUUCCCAUAACCAGUGUUGUUUCGCUCUAGUUUUCCACAAUACUUCCUCGUCUUUAAGCACCCCAAAUAGUUUAUUUUUAAGUUCCUCCCUCUUCUUGACUAAAUCUUGAGAUAAGUGAUUCAUUUCUUCCUCUUUGUCGAUGUCCAGAAUGUCCUCCAAGAGUUUAGUCUUAGCUCGUCUAAUACUGUAGAACUCGUUAGUACACCACUCUUUUAUUCUUCUACGGCAGUGUCUCAAUUUCGCUGUGAAUGUAAGAACUGCCGAUUUAUUCUUACGGCCCUCCGCCCACCACCCAGGCAGCUUGGACCGAAAGUCCUUGUGGUUAAGCCAAGCAGCCUCGAACCGGAAAGUCGUCCUCGUUCUCGUCAAAUUAUUCGUAACCGAUAAAAUGAUGGGGUUGUGGUCCGAAACCACUCUGGGAAGACCGAUCACCUUGGAUAUGGGGAAUUCCUGAUCCCAAUCAGUUGACACUAGGAAUCGGUCCAGUCUAGCCAAGGGAGGGGACUUCUGUAGAUUGGACCACCACGUGAACGAUUGAUUUGUCAUAGGGAGAUCAAUUAAUUCGAGAUCCCUGAUGAGAUUGUUAAAUAAAUCCGUCGCUCUAGAACUCCAAAUCUUCUCUUUUCGCUCGUGUUGUCCUCUAGUACAAUUAAAGUUCCCGCACAUGACCUAUUUUCCCUUACAACAAUCCUUCAAGAGCAAUAAUUUCGAAAAGAAGUACUCCUUACCAUCCCAAGAAGCUGGUCCGUAUACAUUCGUGACAAAGAACCGUGUUCCACCGUUAACCAUUUCCAAAAGAACUGAGAUGGAAUAGUUUCUAACAAUCACUUCUUUACAACUAAAAAUCAUGAGCUCCAACAAGUAAUCAGUCCGCCGAACAUGCCAUUAGAUUCGAGAAAAACACAUUUGGCAAGGAAAGACCCAGCUAAACUGCGAAGGAAGGAACCCAAAACAUAAUUGACCUUAGAUUCCUGGAAACACACUAUUGUGUUGCGUAAGUUAGAUAUUACAUCCCGCACCACAAAACAUUUAGAGGGAUCGUUAAGCCCUUUACCAUUCCAGCUACAAACACAAAAUAUUACAACAGCGUAGACACCACUCCCAAAAAGUGACCAAAAAGUGUCCACGACCAGGACCACAUAUCCCUCCAAGUACUCAUAUGUUCGCGAACUUAACGAAUUUCUUCGCCUCCUCUCUAUCCAGUCUCACCCCGCAGCAACCGCUUUUGUACACAAUCUUCCUUAACGUGUUCUCAGAGACGCCGCCGCUGUCCCCCUCUUGCAAUCGCUUCUUUCUUAUCAGUGCUUUGUAUAGGAUUGAGGUCCUAUCGGUACAAGCGAGCCUCGCAGUGACUCGAGUAAGGGUGAGAUUCUUCUUCUUCAGCAAUAUGGUUGACCCCAUCCCAAACUGGGCCGGGUUCCCACCCCCAUCAUUGGGCCUCCCUCCCUGACUCGAUAGCUCAGCACCAUCCCCUGCCCAAAACUCCGUCUCGAUACACUCGAAAAAGUCGGAGCGUUGACCUCCUCAAGGGAUCACGGUCCACUCCUCGAUCCCGGAGAGUGAGUCGUGGGUGACUUCCCCUACACCCGGUCUUCCACCAGUCAAAGCACCAAUGUUAAACCCCAUAGUGGAGUCCCAGUCCCCUAGGUGGGCACACACUCCCGUGAAAAGACCCACCACCACCUUGGAAAAAACUUCCCCUACACACAACAUCACAUGGUCCCCUCUAAUAAGCAUUAGUCUUUCCCUUCUCACUGCUUUCCACCAGGUUUGAGGGUAGUCCAGAUGGUUGAAACAACCUCCUCCUAGCCUCGGGCCUCUCCACCCCUGACCCAGCCUUAAAUGCAUCAAACAAAAAUGAGGAAAUACACUGCAAACUCAGCUCCCCACCCACCCUUUCCACCCCCUUUUUCGCGAAAUUUUCAAAUUUCACAAUCCACCUCCCCAUCGUCGCCCUCAGCCGGCGCGCCCCUCGCUGACCGCGCUCGGUAGUCGCGCUCACCAGGCCCGAUGCGAGCGCCAGAUGUUGGGCAGCCCUCGGACGCCCUAUCACCCCCGUCAGAGAUCGGCAUACUGUCGAAGAACUCGACGAAGAUCGGCACGCCCAUCGCUGGCCUCGUUCGGUCGGUGUGCUCACCAGGCCCGAUGCGAACCGCUGACGUUGGGCAGCCCCUGGUCGCCCAAUCAUCCCCGCCGACGAUCGGUGUACCGGCAGAGAACACGGCGAAGAUCGCUGCUCCACUGGUUCGCCUGGUGGUCGGCGACUCGGCGGACUCUCUGAUCCGACUUCAUCGAUUCCGCCUUCGUCCUCGCCAGUUACCUGCUCGUUUAUCUCAUGAUCAUUAGUGGCCUGAUUGUCAGGCCGUUCCAUGCCUCCCUGCUAGUUACCAUUACCGUUCCCUUCCUGUGGUGGGCCUGGUGGAUAGCCACUAGCUCCGUCGACAGCUCGCUCUCAGCUUUCAAGAUGUACCACCACAGGAAAACGUUCCUCUCCCAGCACGAUCGACAGAUUCUGUAGGAUGUCGGUCAGUGUGUCCAGCAUGAUCUGACAUCGGAAUGCCAGGAGAUCCGUCAUCGCCUUCGUCACCUCAUCAGCCUUGACGAACUUUUCGAACCCACACACUAUCGCCGCAACUCGGGCAACAGUCCAGCAUUCAAAGGGUAGGUUAAUCAAUCUGAACCACACUCGGAAGCCCAUCCGGUGUGGCUGUGCAUCCCGGUAUAGGCCCUAGGCGAAACAUCGCAGCCAGAAGCCGUCCAAGGUGAGAAUUUCCCUUCUAGCGAUCACUUUCGCAGACACCCACUCCGGUAGGAAGAUUGCGAAGUCGCGCUCCCGAAAACGGGCAACGGCAAAAUCUUGGGUGUAUCCUCCGAACUGUCAUGCCAGUGCGUUCGCGAUGGUAUGGGUGGGAUCCGGACCUAAGUUCGCCGGCUGGAUCACAUCGGCCAAUGCUGCUUUCCGUCGUUGUUCCCUCCUUCGCAGAAAUUCCUCUGUAUACGGGACAUACACUCCCGGUGUACGUUCCCAUCGCUGCAGCACCCUGUUCAUCCUUUCUCUAACUAAACUAACUUUUUCCUUGCAGGUAGAUGCUCGGUGCCCGGAUCUACGGCACCUAACGCACUUGACAGGGUCUCGACAGUCGGCUAUCCAGUGAUCCGAAGUUAGGCAUCGGAAGCACUUUCCACCACGCCUCCUGCUCGUGUUAUUUUUGGCACUUUGGCUGAAGGAGUGCUGAGUUCUGGAUGGUGAAUUGGAAGGUUGUGAUCCCGGCCCCCUCAGGAGCACCUCUUUAUAAGACCUUGCCUCAGUAAAUUCUGAUUUACACCUUCCACCUACCCUCCUGUCACUUCUCGUCCAUAAAUCUCCAGGUGGAUCUCCUACAUCUUCCCCCCUUCCUCUUUGCAGCUCAGUAGUAACUCCUUCCCCUAAACCUCGAGUCGUGAUAAUUCCAAAAUCAGGAAAGGUCGAGUGUUCACCAUUAAUGAGGUCCUUGCUCACCAGUAAAUUCCUACCAACCUCGUCUGCCCAAACCACUAUCUUCACGACUUUUUUUUUUCUUCCUAUCUUCCUGUACCGGCCUCCUCUCCUCUGCUACUUUCUUCCCCUCCCCAAACACGUCGCCAUUCCAAGUCAAGUUCGAGAAGGGGUGCUUUUAAUACUAAAACCCAAAACUAUAUACAUAUAAACACUAGGCGAAAGAAUUUUUACAUUUGAAUAGAGAUGAAACUAACACGUAGUAGUGGAUCAAAACUACUCAAUGAAGCCUCACUGGGGAGCUCCCCACUGAAGUUUCUUUCCCCACAUACUGCUAUAAGAGUGAGAUCGCUCACAAAUGGACCAAAAUAAUAUUAAAAUUCAUACUGAAAAAUAUUUUAGCUAUCAUUAGAUAUAGAUCUCCAGCUUCAGAAAAAAAGAAAAAGAAAAACUUCAAAUACGCCCCUUACGAUUUAGCAUUUUAUCACUUUACUACUUUAUGAUUUAAAGUAUAUCAUUUUAAUAUAUGUGAUUUUAUUUUUCUCUUUCCAUCGGUCUUUUCGUUAACUUCUCUAUUAAAGCAUAUAGACAAAACUUCAUAUACCUCCCAUGUGAUUUACCGAAUUUUUAUUUUAGUACUUCGUAUUUUUAAUUUUAUAGUCGGUUUAACAAAAAGGUUAAUGAAAGGGGUAACGAAAGAGAAAAUGAAAAUCACAUAAUAUUAAAGUGAUACGCUUUAAAUUAUAGAGUUUAAGAAAGUGGUAAACCACAUGAGAGGGUACUUGAAGUUUUGUCUAUAUGAAAAAAACUUAUUCCUUCCUAUACCAAGUANCCAAGAUGGAAUAGUUUCUAACAAUCACUUCUUUACAACUAAAAACUCGUGAGCUCCAACAAGUAAUCAGUCCGCCGGACAUGCCAUUAGAUUCGAGAAAAACAUAUUUGGCAAGAAAAGACCCAACUAAACUGCGAAGGAAGGAACCCAAAACAUAAUUGACCUUAGAUUCUUGGAAACACGCUACUGUGUUGCGUAAGUUAGAUAUUACAUCGCGCACCACAAAACAUUUAGAGGGAUCGUUAAGCCCUCUAACAUUCCAGCUACAAACACAAAACAUUACAAUAGCGUAGACACCACCCCCAAAAGGUGACCAAAAAGUGUCCACGACCAGGACCACAUAUCCCUCCAAGUGCUCAUAUGUUCGCGAACUAAAUGAAUUUCUUCGCCUCCGCUCCAUCCAGUCUCACCCCGCAGCAGCCGCACUUGUGCACGAUCUUCCUCAACGUGUUCUCAGAGACGCCACAGCCUUACCUCUCUUGCAACCGCUUCUUUCUUAUUAGUGCUUUGCAUAGAAUUGAGGUCCUAUAGGUACAAGCGAGCCUCGCACUGACUCGAGUAGAGGUGAGAUCUUUCUUCUUCAGCAAUAUGGUUGACCCCAUCCCAAACUGGGCCGGGGUCCCACCCCCAUCAUUGGGCCUCCCUCCCUGACUCGAGAGCUCAGCAUCAUCCCCUGCUCGAAACUCCGUCUCGGUACACUCGAAAAAGUCAGAGCGUUGACCUCCUCAAGGGAUCACGAUCCACUCCUCAACCCCGGAGCGUGAGUCGUGGGUGACUUCCCCUGCACCCGGUCUUCCACCAGCCAAAGCACCAAUGUUAAACCCCAUAGUGGAGUCCCAGUCCCCUAGGUGGGCACACACCCCCGUGAAAAGACCCACCACCACCUUGGAAAAAACUCUCCCUACACACAACAUCACAUGGUCCCCUCUAAUAAGCAUUAAAGUCUUUUCCUUCUCACUGCUUUCCACCAGGUUUGAGGGUAGUCCAGAUGGUUGAAACAACCCCUUCCUAGCCUCGGGCCUCUCCACCCCUGACCCAGCCUUAAAUGCAUCAAACAAAAAUGGAAAAAUACACUGCAAACUCAGCUCCCCACCCACCCCUUCCACCCCCUUUUUCACCAAAUUUUUGAAUUUCACAAUCCACCUCCCCGCCGUCGCCUUCAGCCAGCGCGCCCCUCGCUGACCGCGCUCGAUCGUCGCGCUCACCAGGCCCGAUGCGAGCGCCAGACAUUGGGCAGCCCUCGGACGCCCUAUCAUCCCCGCCGGAGAUCGGCGUACCGUCGAAGAACUCAACGAAGAUCAGCAUGCCCAUCGCUGACUGCGCUCGGUCGGUGCGCUCACCAGGCCCGAUGCAAACCACUGACGUUGGGCAGCCCCCGGUCGCCCAAUCAUCCCCGCCGGCGAUCUGUGUACCGGCAGAGAACACAGCGAAGAUCGCUGCUCCACUGGUUCGCCUGGUGGUCGGUGACUCGGUGAACUCUCUGAUCCGAUGAAACCAAGAUGGAAUAGUUUCUAACAAUCACUUCUUUACAACUAAAAACUCGUGAGCUCCAACAAGUAAUCAGUCCGCCGGACAUGCCAUUAGAUUCGAGAAAAACACAUUUGGCAAGAAANNNNNNNNNNNNNNNNNNNNNNNNNNNNNNNNNNNNNNNNNNNNNNNNNNNNNNNNNNNNNNNNNNNNNNNNNNNNNNNNNNNNNNNNNNNNNNNNNNNNNNNNNNNNNNNNNNNNNNNNNNNNNNNNNNNNNNNNNNNNNNNNNNNNNNNNNNNNNNNNNNNNNNNNNNNNNNNNNNNNNNNNNNNNNNNNNNNNNNNNNNNNNNNNNNNNNNNNNNNNNNNNNNNNNNNNNNNNNNNNNNNNNNNNNNNNNNNNNNNNNNNNNNNNNNNNNNNNNNNNNNNNNNNNNNNNNNNNNNNNNNNNNNNNNNNNNNNNNNNNNNNNNNNNNNNNNNNNNNNNNNNNNNNNNNNNNNNNNNNNNNNNNNNNNNNNNNNNNNNNNNNNNNNNNNNNNNNNNNNNNNNNNNNNNNNNNNNNNNNNNNNNNNNNNNNNNNNNNNNNNNNNNNNNNNNNNNNNNNNNNNNNNNNNNNNNNNNNNNNNNNNNNNNNNNNNNNNNNNNNNNNNNNNNNNNNNNNNNNNNNNNNNNNNNNNNNNNNNNNNNNNNNNNNNNNNNNNNNNNNNNNNNNNNNNNNNNNNNNNNNNNNNNNNNNNNNNNNNNNNNNNNNNNNNNNNNNNNNNNNNNNNNNNNNNNNNNNNNNNNNNNNNNNNNNNNNNNNNNNNNNNNNNNNNAGCCGCAGCUUUUUUCUUCUUCCUUUUCAUCUCCUCCACCAUCUCCCUCCUUGUCUUCUUUGGCUGAGGGUGGUGCUGGGCACUCCCCUCCCUCUGGCCCCUCGUCGGUACUUCCCCCGAAGUCCCGGCGACCCUCCCUAUCCACUAUUGCCACCCCCGACCGCGGCCGCCGUGCUGUAGCCACCCUGCUGCCACCUCGGGGGGAUCUUGGCCGAGCCGACUUGCAACCUCUCUACUCACGCCGCCGUCGCCUGAGGCCGCCCCUGCUGCCUCCCUUGUAACCCUAGUGACCCUUUCCGCCGGUCAUCGCCGUCCCUGCGGGCCAUAGACAUCGCCUUUAGCAGCCAGCGGCCUCCCCAGAUCUGCUCGGGCCGAGGGUGAAGCCAAGCUUCUCCUCGCGCCACCGCCACCUGGGAUCAGCCGCGCCGGUUCCCUCUAGCCUCCGGCAGUUCUCCACCGUCGCCCCUGAGCUCCUCGCCGGUCGUCGUUGCCGCCAUUACUCCUGAACCCGAACCCUAGCCGGUGCGGGCUCGGGUUGCUNCCGCGCUCGAUCGUCGCGCUCACCAGGCCCGAUGCGAGCGCCAGACAUUGGGCAGCCCUCGGACGCCCUAUCAUCCCCGCCGGAGAUCGGCGUACUGUCGAAGAACUCAACGAAGAUCAGCAUGCCCAUCGCUGACUGCGUUCGGUCGGUGCGCUCACCAGGCCCGAUGCAAAUCACUGACGUUGGGCAGCCCCCGGUCGCCCAAUCAUCCCCGCCGGCGAUCUGUGUACCGGCAGAGAACACAGCGAAGAUCGCUGCUCCACUGGUUCGCCUGGUGGUCGGUGACUCGGUGAACUCUCUGAUCCGACUUCAUCGAUUCCGCCUUCGUCCUCGCCAGUUACCUGCUCGUUCAUCCCAUGAUCAUUAAUUGCCUGAUUGUCAGGCCGUUCCAUGCCUCCCUGCUAGUUACCAUUACCGUUCCCUUCCUAUGGUGGGCUUGGUGGAUAGCCUCUAGCUCCGUCGACAGCCCACUCUCAGCUUUCGAGAUGUACCACCAUAAGAAAACGUUCCUCUCCCAACACGAUCGACAGAUUCUGCGGGAUGUCGGUCAGUGUGCUCAGCAUGAUCUGACAUUGGAAUGCCAGGAGAUCCGUCAUCGCCUUCGUCGCCUCAUCAACCUUGACGAACCUUCCGAACCCACACACUAUCGCCACAACUCUGGCAACAGUCCAGCAUUCAAAGGGUAGGUUAAUCAACCUGAACCACGCUCGGAAGCCCAUACGGUGUGGUUGCGCGUCCCGGUAUGGGCCCUAGGCAAAACAACGCAGCCAGAAGCCGUCCAAGGUGAGAAUUUCCCUCCUAGCGAUCACUUCCGCAGACACCCACUCCGGUAGGAAGAUUGCGAAGUUGCGUUCCCGAAAACAGGCAACGGCAAAAUCUUGGGUGUAUCCUCCGAACCGUCGUGCCAGUGCGUUCGCGAUGGUCCGGGUGGGAUCCGGACCUAAGUUCGCCGGCUGGAUCACAUCGGCCAACACUACUUUCCGUCGUUGUUCCCUCACUCGCAGAAAUUCCUCUGUAUACGGGACAUACACUCCCGGCGUACGUUCCCAUCACUGCAGCACCCUGUUCAUCCUUUCUCUAGCUAAAUUAACUUUUUCCUUGCAGGUAGAUGCUCGGUGCCCGGAUCUACGGCACCUAACGCACUUGACAGGGUCUCGACAGUCGGCUAUCCAGUGGUCCGAAGUUAGGCACCAGAAGCACUUUCCGCCACGCCUUCUGCUCGUGUUAUUUUUGGCACUUCGGCUGAAGGAGUGCUGAGUUUUGGAUGGUGAAUUGGAAGGUUGUGAUCCCGACCCCCUGAAGAGCACCUCUUUAUAAGACCUUGCCUCAAUAAAUUCUGAUUUACACCUUCCACCUACCCUCCUGUCACUUCUUGUCCAUGAAUCUCUAGGUGGAUCUCCUACAUCUUCCCCCCUCCUCUUUGCAACUCAGUAGUAACUCCUUCCCCUAAACCUCGAGUCGUGGUAAUUCCAGAAUCAAGAAAGGUCGAGUCUUCACCCUAAUGAGGUCCUUGCCCACCAGUAAAUUCCUACCAACCUCGUCUGCCCAAACCACUCUCUUCACGACUUUUUUUUUCUUCCUAUCUUCCUGUACCGACCUCCUCUCCUAUGCUACUUUCUUCCCCAAACACGUCGCCAUUCCGAGUCAAGUUCAAGAAGGGGUGCUUUUAAUACUAAAACCCAAAACUAUAUACAUAUAAACACUAGGCGAAAGAAUUUUUACAUUUGAAUAGAGAUGAAACUAACACGUAGCAGUGGAUCGAGACUACUCAAUGAAGCCUCACUGGGAGCUCCCCACUGAAGUUUCUUUCCCCACAUACUGCUAUAAGAGUGAGGUCGCUCACAGAUGGACCAAAAUAAUAUUAAAAUUCAUAUCGAGAAAUAUUUUAGCUAUAAUUAGAUAUAGAUCUCCAGCUUCAGAAAAAAAGAAAAAGAAAAACUUCAAAUACCCCCCUUACGAUUUAGCCUUUUAUCACUUUACUACUUUGUGAUUUAAAGUAUAUCAUUUUAAUAUAUGUGAUUUUAUUUUUCUCUUUCCUUCGGUCUUUUCGUUAACUUCUCUAUUAAAGCAUAUAGACAAAACUUCAUAUACCUCCCAUGUGAUUUGCCGAAUUUUUAUUUUAGUACUUCGUAUUUUUAAUUUUAUAGUCGGUUUAACAAAAAGGUUAAUGAAAGGGGUAACAAACGAGAAAAUGAAAAUCAGAUAAUAUUAAAGUGAUACACUUUAAAUUAUAGAGUUUAAGAAAGUGGUAAACCACAUGAGAGGGUACUUAAAGUUUUUUCAAAAAAAAAAAAAACUUAUUCCUUCCUAUACUAAGUAUACAAAUACAUUAGCAAGUAAAAAAAGAAAAAAAAAAUAGGAGAUAGCAAGCCCGAGCGUACAACUCAAAUGAGCAGGAUUAGUUUGACGGUCUACCAUUCAGCUUCGCUUGGGAUUGCGAAAAGUAUAUGUAAGGACCGAGAUUUUGGCAGUAUAGCUAAACUCUCUGUUGAUGAUAUUUUUGUGUGUAUUUUAAUUACAAAAGCACUCGUCAAGUUUCGAAAGAAAAUGAGUUUGAAUGGAAAAGUUACGCGACUUUUACUUUUCACUUAAAGUAAAUAGUAACUCGGAUUUUCGGAGAGGCCAAGGUGUAGAGAUGGCUUCUGACGCGUAUCGGACUCCGUUCAUAGCGAUCCAAUAGCUCGUUUUUAAUGGUUCGACUAUUUUGGAACCAAUGGCGCUGACGGAUUUUAGGUUUUACGCACGGUUUUUGAGAAAACUGGAGAUACAUAUAUUCUAUGUAUUUGUAUGUCGUUUUGUCUAUUUGAGAGAGAUUGCAUUUUGUCGUGAAUCUGGGACCGAACCAGGCAAACCAAAAUCGUGAGUUUGUUGUCUCUGUCGUGUUGAUCGUACUAUGCGAUCCGUUCGCAAAUCUGACGGACGGAUCUUCUGAUAUCGUGCGUCGAUCGAGGAGGGGACUUAGAUGGCAAAACGAUAAUUUUGUGAAAAGCUCGACAUUUUAUGUUCCGUUUUACAUGAAAUUGGCUUUGGGGGUAUGUUCGCACGUUUUACCAGCUCUGUGAGGGACUCUGUUAAAAAUAUCCGAGUUUGGAGGACUUUUGCGCAAAUCGAGCACUUGUAUAUAUAGCCUUCUAGGGUUUGCACCAUGCAAACCCUAGCCCCCUUUAGCUCCCAGCUAACCUAGCUGCCCCUCCUCCCUCACCUCGAGUGCCGCGCACCUCCCGGCCACCGUCGACCGAGCCUCGGCCGGCCAGCCAUAGCCGCAGCUUUUUUCUUCUUCCUUUUCAUCUCCUCCACCAUCUCCCUCCUUGUCUUCUUUGGCUGAGGGUGGUGCUGGGCACUCCCCUCCCUCUGGCCCCUCUCCGGUACUUUCCCCGAAGUCCCGGCGACCUUCCCUAUCUACUGUUGUCGCCCCCAACCGCGGCCGCCGUGCUAUAGCCACCCUGCUGCCACCUCGGGGGAUCUUGGCCGAGCCGACUUGCAACCCCUCUACUCACGCUGCCGCCGCCUGAGGCCGCCCCUACUGCCUCCCUCGGAACCCCGGUGAACCUUUCCGUCUGUCGUCGCCGUCCCUGCGGGCCACAGUCGCCGCCUCUAGCAGCCAGCGGCCUCCCUAGAUCUCCUCGGGCCGAGGGUGAAGCCAAGCUUCUCCUCGCGCCGCCACCGCCACCUGGGAUCAGCCGCGUCGGUUCCCUCUGGCCUCCGGCAGUUCUCCACCGUCGCCCCUGAGCUCCCCGCCGGUCGCCGUGGCCGCCAUUGCUCCUGAACCCGAACCCUAGCCGGUGCGGGCUCGGGUUGCUCCAGCACCGCCGCCGCCGCCUCCCGCCACCGGCCGGCUCGAGCACCGGCCUUCCCCCGUCGACUGCACCCGUCUGCCGCCGGUGGACCCGCCGCCGGCCGUGCCCUAGCUUCUACUACUCCGGUAAUCUUAGUCUAGGGCUUUUGAUUACUGUUUUGGGUUGCGCAUGCUUUUCCGGCGAUUUGAGGCUGUCCCGAUGGCUCUGGAGGUGAGCACGGUGAUCCCUGGUCAGUGUUGAUCACAGUGCUCACCUCACUUAGGAUCAGUGAUUGCCGAAACUGUAUUUUCGACGCAGUUUUCCCCCAGUGCGCGCGCUGUUCCUGAAUGUUUGGGUCGCUCCCACGCCUCCCACAUUGAGCCGUUGUGCUCCGAAUCAUGAGCACGGUCUUCGGAACGUCGAGACCUGUCAGUAUGUGUCUCGGCGGACCUCGGAAGUCUUCGGUUUGCAUUAACAAGCCACAAAAUCACCUGAUUUACAUAAAAUGAUAGAAUUUUAUGUAAAUGUAGGGACUUUUAUGCAAUUGUGCAUCUUGUGGUACUGUGGGCAGUACGUAGUGUUUGUGGUGACCUCUGGACUUAUUGUCCAAGGUCCGAUAGCCUUCGUGGAAAUCAAAAGUCGAUUUCGAUGCGUUUUUCAGUAAAAUUCGUUGGCGGAACGCGGUUUCAGUUCGGAUUUCAUCCAACGGUGUUUGUUUGCCCUAAGAGUUGUCGCUGAGCCUUGUCGGCUAGUCACCAUCAUCAUAUCGUGGGUUCGGAGAUAACGGGUGAGCGACGGUGGGUUCCGGUGUCGAAAUUGACACUUCCGGAAACCCAGAUCCGAACAAUUAUCCGACGAUAAUUGUUUGUUUGUGUUAUCUUGUGUUUGCUGCCAAGACAUCCAAAUCGAUGUGUUUUGUGGCAGCGGGUGAUUUGUGGCAUGAUUCAGUUAGUUUCUGGACACUUAGUGGGUCCCGAUGGCGUCCCGGUGUGAUUUUCAAGACUUUUGGUGAGUUACGGUGAUCGAUUUUAGGAAACCGAUUUUGAAAAUUUGUAUGGGGUUCGUGAGUCGUGUAUUUUGGAUUUGUGGGUUGGAUACUGACCCAGUGGAUCUUCGUAGGUUCGGUUGACUUGUGGUACACCCAGGUUUCCAACGUGAUUGUGAUAGGUGGGUGCUUUGAGCUGGUAGUCGGUGAGAUCGUUUCGCUUUCGUCUCCUUUACUCUUGUAGAGACAUGUCAGUUGCUUUUGUUUAUCAUUCGUAUCUAUAUCUUAUUGAUUGCAUGACAGUAGUUGUUGAUAGACAUGUAGAGCAGGCUUGCAUAUGUUGUAUAUCUGUAGACCUUGGGUCCAGACAACACAUUGACUCCUUUGUCGUGUGUUUCGAUCUAGUUGAUCGUGGUUUGGCGUUGUACGCCCUUACAUCUGGUUUCGACCAAGGCACCGAUUUUCUUGCUGGUUUUCGUAUUGAAUAUAUUAGUAUGAUUUAGUCACAGUAUUGUGUAUUCUAGACACCGGUUGGUUUGGCCACUAAUCAGGAGGUGUACGUAUCCGGAUAGGUCGUCGGUGGGCGCAUGAAUCAAUGUCAGUGUAUACUCUGUGACAGGCAACACUUGAGGUCUGCGGACCAAUAUGGCAGCACCAGAUUGGGUUUGAUUUUAGAUUAUAUACCCUUGAGGCAUCUGUUUCAGUUGAGUUGUUGAUACAGUAGUAGUUGGUUCUUACUCAUUUACUAUCUUGUUUCUAGUACUACUGUAGUUGCUCUUAUAUCAUACCAUGUACAUAUCUAUUGUUCUAUCUCCUUUGUUUUUCAGUAAAUACGAUUUGCCUUCGUGGCUCUGUCGUACCCAUUUUUUCAGGUGAUUCGGGCAAGGAGUUGGCUUUUGGACCGACGGGAGGACGUUCUAGCUAGCCUGCAGUAACGACCGUCAUCCGGAUUACUUUAAUUUUCGCCUCUAGUAAUUUAAAUAAUUAAAUGGUUUAGUUAAAUGAUCCCUUGAAUAUUUGAAUGUUUGUGAGUUUGUUUGAGUUGGUGAUUUCUAUUAUGCAUGCGAUUGGAGAUUUGUGGAUCUGUGGUUUUGGUUUUAUAGAUAAUUGGUUCUAGGAUUUGUAUAUUUAUGCAUCGUAGUUUUCUACUCAUUGAGAUAGUCGGUUUUCAAAAUGGAGUUUUCGAGUAGAAAACAGUUUUAAAAAGUUUUUGAAUGGUUUUUAUGAAUAAUUAAAUAGAGUUUAAAGACAAAACUUUCGAGUGGGGAGCACUCUUAAAUAGGAUGACUGUUGUACUGUGCAUCGUAUCAUCCAGUGCCUAAGGAGUGCUUAAAGGCAUGCAUCAUCUCUAAGAAUCGCUAGCUGUAUGUGGCGAGGCAGCAAGGCGGAGGAGGGCGAAGCAACAGAAGAGAGGGCAGAGCGUAUUUUUGGCAUAAAAAGAUAUUUUAUAACGGAACCCUAACGGAUCAUUAACGGUAGGGGGUGAAGUGAAUAUUUUUUAUUUUACAAGGGGGCAAAGUGUAGAUUUUUAAAUGACGGAUGGAAAAGUGAAAAAUUUGGUUUUGACAGAAAUUNCCCUAGCUUCUACUACUCCGGUAAUCUUAGUCUAGGGCUUUUGAUUACUGUUCUGGGUUGCGCAUGCUUUUUCGAUGAUCCGAGGCUGUCCCGAUGGCUCCGGAGGUGAGCACGGUGAUCCCUGGUCAGUGUUGAUCACAGUGCUCACCUCACUUAGGAUCAGCGAUUGCCGAAACUAUAUUUUCGACACAGUUUUUCCUGAGUGCGCGCGCUAUUCGCUGAAUGUUUGGGUCGCACCCACGCCUCCCACAGUGAGCCGUUGUGCUCCGAAUCAUGAGCACGGUCUUCGAAACGUCGAGACCUGUCAGUAUGUGUCUCGGCGGACCUCGGAAGUCUUCGGUUUGCGUUAACAAGCGACAAAAUCAUCUGAUUUACAUAAAAUGAUAGGAUUUUAUGUAAAUGUAGGGACUUUUAUGCAAUUGUGCAUCUUGUGGUACUGUGGGCAGUACGUAAGUGUUUGUGGUGACCUCUAGAUUGAUUGUCCAAGGUUCGAUAGCCUUCGUGGAAAUCGAAAGUCGAUUUCGAUGCGUUUUUCAGUAAAAUUCGCCGGCGGAACGCGGUUUCGGUUCGUAUUUCAUCCAACGGUGUUUGUUUUCCCUGAGAGUUGUCGCUCAGCCUUGUCGGCUGGUCACCAUCGUCAUAUUGUGGGUUCGGAGAUAACGGGUGAGCGACGGUGGCUUCCAGUGUCGAAAUUGACACUUCCUGGAAUCCGGAUCCGAACAAUUAUCCGACAAUAAUUGUUUGUUUGUGUUAUCUUGUGUUUGCUGCCAAGACAUCCAAAUCGAUGUGUUUUGUGGCAGCAAGUGAUUUGUGGCAUGAGUCAGUUAGUUUCGGGACACUUAGUGGGUCCCGAUGGCGUCCCGGUGUGAUUUUCGGGACUUUCGGUGAGUUACGGUGAUCGAUUUUAGAAAACCUAUUUUGGAAAUUUGUAUGGGGUUCGUGAGUCGCGUAUUUUGGAUAUGUGGGUUGGAUACUGACCCAGUGGAUCUUCGUAGGUCCGGUUGACUUGUUGUACACCCAGGUUUCCAACGCGAUUGUGACAGGUGGGUGCUUUGAGCUGGUAGUCGGUGAGAUCGUUUCACUUUCCUCUCCUUUACUCAUGUAGAGACAUGUCAGUUGCUUUUGUUUAUCAUUCAUAUCUAUAUCUUAUUGAUUGCAUGACAGUAGUUGUUGAUAGACAUGUAGAGCAGGCUUGCAUAUGUUGUAUAUCUGUAGACCUUGGGUCCAACCAACACAUUGACUCCUUUGUCGUGUGUUUCGAUCUACUUGAUCGUGGUUUGGCGUUGUACGCCCUUACAUCUGGUUUCGGCCAAGGCACCGAUUUUCUUGCUAGUUUUCGUAUUGAGUAUAUCAGUAUGAUUUAGUCACAGCAUUGUGUAUUCUAGACACCGGUUGGUUUGGCCACCAACCAGGAGAUGUACGUAUCCGGAUAGGUCGUCGAUGGACGCAUGAAUCAAUGUCAGUGUAUACUUUAUGACAGGUAACGCUUGAGGUCUGCGGACCAAUAUGGCAGCACCAGAUUGGGUUUGAUUUUGGAUUAUAUACCCUUGAGGCAUCUGUUUCAGUUGAGUUGUUGAUACAGUAAUAGUUGGCUCUUACUCAUUUACUGUAGUUGCUCUUAUAUCAUACCAUGUACAUAUCUAUUGUUCUAUCUCCUUUGUUUUUCAGUAAAUACGAUUUGCCUUCGUGGCUCUGUCGUACCCAUUUUUUCAGGUGACUCAGGCAAGGAGUUGGCUUUUGGACUGACGGGAGAACGUUCUAGCUAGCCUGCAGUAGUGACCGUUAUCCGGGUUACUUUUAUUUUCGUUUCUAGUAAUUUAAAUAAUUAAAUGGUUUAGUUAGAUGAUCCCUUGAAUGUUUGAAUGUUUGUGAGUUUGUUUGAGUUGGUGAUUUCUAUUAUCCAUGCGAUUAGAGAUUUGUGGAUCUGUGCUUUUGGUUUUAUAGAUAAUUAGUUCUAGGAUUUGUAUAUUUAUGCAUUGUGGUUUUCUGCCCAUUGAGAUAGUCGGUUUUCAAAAUGAAGUUUCCGAGUAGAAAAUAGUUUUAAAAAGUUUUUGAAUGAUUUUUAUAAAUAAUUAAAUAGAGUUUAAAACCAAAACUUCCGAAUGGGAAGCACUCUUAAAUAGGAUGACUGUUGUACUGUGCAGCGUAUUAUCCAGUACCUAAGCAGUGCUUAGAGGCAUGUAUCAUCUCUAAGAAUCGCUAGCUGUAUUUGGCGAGACAGCAAGGCGGAGGAGGGCGAAGCAACAGUAGAGAGGGCGGAGCGUAUUUUUGGCAUAAAAAGAUAUUUUAUAACGGAACCCUAACGGAUCAUAAACGGUAGGGGGUGAAGUGAAUAUUUUUUAUUUUACAAUGAGGCAAAGUGUAGAUUUUUAAAUGACAGAUGGAAAAGUGAAAAUUUUGAUUUUGACAGAAAUUUUUUUUUGUAAUUUAACCAAAUAUAUUCCUUGUCUAUUUCCUAUCAACUCAAUCUUUUGAAUGAUAUUGUGCGAGAGCUAAUUCUAAUUAAAUCUCUUCCUUUUAUGCGAAUGCUAGCCUGGGCCACCUCGGCGUCUUCAACACAAGAAUACCAGGCCAGGGUACGCAUAUCUGAAUUGGCAUUAAUUGGACACACUGAUCUUUGCAAUAAUAAAAAUCAUUAUUUCAUAUUUCAUUCUAGUGCGACUUGGCUCAACGUGGAUAGAUAGAGGCCUCGUUUGGAUGUAGGAAUUAGAUAUUCUGAUAACUUAUUAAAAAAAAUUUCUUAUAUGAUUGAAAGCGAGGAGUUUUUUUUUUUUCUUUACUCGAAAGACCUGUGUUAUAAUAACUUGUCCAGUAAUAAUAUAAUCAAUACAUAAAUUUUCUUAUUCAUAAUUUGAUUGAAUAGUACAUUUUGUUUAUAUGAUAAUUUAUUUUAUUUUAGAAAAAUGAAUUGGAAGUAAAAUACAAUAUUUCAUUUUGGACAUUGGACCGCACUUUUCAUUUUAGAGGCUUAUUCUUACUUUGCAGUUGAAAUAGAAAAGGAACGUCUAGUAAAAUCUAUCUUUACAUAGGGCUGGCAAAUGAAUGAGCCGGCUCGUGUUUAGCUCGAUAUUCAGCUCGCUCGUGCUUGACUCGAAAUUAAUUAAUAAGUUGAGCUUGAGUAUUACUCGGCUCUCUCGAAGUAGGCUCGAAAAGCUCGAAUAUAUAUAUAUAUAGGCUGGGGCUACUAUACUCAUAUGAGUAUAGAGCUCUUUGUACUCAUAACUUUUCGGCCGUUCGGAUGAAAAAAUAUGCGGUUAGGAUGAGAGUGAUUACGGUUAGGUUAAUAGUGGACCCCCUAGGGUUGAGUGGGUGAUUGAUUGAAAUAGUAUAAUCUAACGGGUGAAAAUGAUUAAAAGGUAGAUCAAACGGUAAAAAACUUAUGAAUACAAGAGCCUCUAUACUCAUAAGAGUAUAGUAGCCGGACUCAUAUAUAUAUAUAUAUAUAUAUGCUGAGUAUAAUAUUGCUAGCCCAUAAAAACAAUCCAAUAGACAAACAAAAGGGCAAAGUUUUACUAAAUGUACACUCUCUUCCUCUUUUUUUUUCACAAAGCUCUAAAUCCCUAAUCUCUCUCUCUCUCUCUCUCUCUCCAAGCCUGAAGCCCUCCAAAUUACCAAGUAAUAACAUGCGCCGAUCAUUGCCUACCUCGCCAUUAAUUGUGUGCUUGAGAAAAUAUACAAAAUAUUUUUAAGGUUUAUUGUUUAUACAAAAUUUUGAUUUUAGUUAUAUAUGAUUGGAUAGUUUAAUCCAAUAUUUACCUAUAUAAUUUAUUUAUUUUUUGACCACAUAAAUAAAAAGGAAUAAUAUAGAGAUUGAAGGCGGAAGAGAAGACAUGCAAGGCUGAAAAGAUUAGAUAUCCAACUCAUAAGUUAUUUUUCUUAUAUUAUAAUACCGUAUUUUAUAUAAUUAUUUUGUAUUUUGAACUAUUAGACAUACUUUUAUAUUAAAUUGUAGAUAAUGUUCUAUACAAACUAAACUAUUGAUCGUACGAUGUUGAGAAUUUCAAGCGGCUCGUUCAGGACUCGAGCUCGCUCGACUCAAAAUUAGACUCGCUCGAGCUCGGCUCGAAUUAAUUUCAAGCCAAACUUGAGCCUAAAUUUAGGCUCGAAAUUAAUUUUAAGCCGAAUUUGAGCUGAGAUAAGCUCGCUCGAGCUCGGCUCGUUUCCGCCCCUAUCUUUACAUGCCCCAAACAAAAAUUAAUGCCUUUCAAUCGGACGUGCAUUACUGGCAUGACAUUUUUGCUGUAAAAUUUUGAGAUACUUUGCCCCUCUAUGAGCGGUCAAUUGUUUAUUACAUGUAAGCCCUAUUAUGAUGCAUAAACAUCUUAUUCAAUAUACCUCUUUUGUUUACUCGAGAAGCAUGCAGCAUUUCAUAAAUAAGAAGUGUGAUCAAAUGUCCAAAAUAGAUAUCAUGUUCAACCUUCAUUUUUUUUUUUCGGAACAAAAUAUAUUACUUCAUGGAUAAAAAAUACUACCUAGCCAAAUCAUAGAUGUCAAAAUCUUUCUACAAGAAAAAACUUUAAAAAAAAAUUAAAAUAAAAUCCUCAUACCAAACAGGGAUAUCUUAUCCUGACAUCAAAACAGGGCCAUAGCUGAACAAUUAUCUUGCGUCACAAAAUUCAUGAUGAAUUCGCUGGAAUAUCUCUUCUAGAGUGAAAAUUUUGUAGAUUGUGAUUACUGAGUUCACUAGGGAAAUGCCAUCUUGUUCUUGUACAGUGUUAUGAUAUUUACCAUGAUUAAAAUUUCUGGCAUACAAAGAAUAACUUGAUAUGUAAAGAGACUUCAAACAUACAAAAUCACUCUAGAAUUGAUACACAUGAUUGCUAUACAUAUGGGCUGUCAUAUUCAGGGAUUGAAGCAUAGCUUCUCCCCGUUUGUUGAUAGUAAAAGUAGAAAUGCCGCCAUUAUUCACAUCGAUGGAUCGAAACCUACAUCAUAACGAAAGUUUCAAUAUUUACUAAUAAAAAAUUUACGCCCUUCACGGCAACAAAUAUUUCACAAGAACCUCAGAUAUUUCCUAUUAUCAGGGACCGAAUUUAGUACGAAGAUGCUUCAAGGAUUAAUUUGUUUAGAUUUGCGAAAUAUUUGUAACCUUUGAGGCUCUAGUGUUAGAGAACAAUAAAUCGCACACAUUGGAGAUUACGAGCACUUGAACUUACCUCUCUGGACCUAGUCCAAGAGCUGUACAGAUGAGGGCUCGCAAAAUGGACUUAUGAGUAACUACCAAAAAGCUCUCUCCCUGAUUUUUUUUUUUUUUUUUAAAUAAACGAAGAAAUAUUUGUAAGCUCUAGAAGCUAUUAGUAGUCUUCAGAAUGAAUUUGGAAGGGUCACAAGUACAUACCGGUGAGAACAAAAUUUCUUUCCAAGCUUCUCUUGCAGUUCCCCACAACCUUCGUAUAGGAUAAACACCUUCGACAUGAAAAUUAGCAGGAUCUUCUCUCCAUUUGGUAUACAAUUCUGGGUAUUUCUUCUUAGCAUCCGCUGCCUCCAAGUACCAAACAUCGUUACAUAUGAUAGAUAGUUAUUGAAACAAAAGAAAGGAGCCCUUGCAUACGUAUUCCUACAAAAUAAUCUAUUGACAUAUAUACUUUGACACCCCAAUAGUUCCACAUCAAAUAGAAACGGGGUUGUGAUUAGAUAUAUGGGAGAUCAUGGACCAUAGUAAUAAUAACUAAACUUAAGUAUUUUCGGCCGAUAGUUUGCACUCAAUGAGUUAUUAUUACUAAUAGACCGGAUUGUUACAAUUGGCAUCAGAGCCGGUUCACCAGUCGGAAAUGUGAGAUGGGCCUCACAUCGCCAAAUGAUCUUGAGCUGUAUGUGCCCACAUCGGAUGGGAACGGAACUAUAAUUUGAUAUAUAAGAGAUCAUGGACCAUAGUAAUAAUUACUAGGCAUAAGCACUUUGGGCCGGUAGUUUGCACCCAACAAGUUAUUAAAAGAAAAGAAGGAGCCCCUGCAUACGUAUUCCUGCAAAAUCAGUUGUUGACAUAUAUGCCUAGCGCAAGUUCGUGCAAAAAAACCCUUAAGUUGGGAAGUCAUUGAAUUCAUAAGAGGAAGUUGGUCUUGAAUUAGAGAGGCCUUAGAGACAUGAGUUCUGUAAUAGCAAGAGUACGUACGUAGAAAAAGGUUUUGAAGGGCAUAUAUGAAAUUUCAGAUUUUGCAGGGGCAUAUGUUUAAAUAGACAAUUUAGCAUCCAUACCAUUUGUCAUGCCUUCGAGAAAAAAUAGAUGUGCCUCUUUCAAUGAAUCAAGAAAAAUUAGUGGUUGCUCGCGUCCAUGCCAUAUAAGUUCAGCAGUAGACUGCAUUAAAAACCUAUUGGUAGAGAAUGAUGAAUUUGCAAACCAAUUUGUGGCGAAUUUCUUCCGAAGGAUGGAAAAAAAAACAAUGGAAGAUUUUCAGGUUCAAAAUUGAGGCUCAAAGUCCAAACCUUUGCUCUUGAGAUAGGACUAGAGAAGCAGAUGUCAAAGUUCAUAUUGAUCAAUGCAUUACAGCAUCUCUCAGCUUGCAUGGCUCCAGUUUCUGUUAAUAUGGACAAAUCUGAACUUCCCUAGAUAACAAUGGUAAUCUAGUCACCAAAGUCCAAAUAUUACUUUCAAGAAGUUCUGCAAGUCAACAAUAUACAAAGCAAGUAUUUAAGUACUCAUUAACACGGGCCGUAUCUACCGUACUGUAACGUGCCAAUAAGAUACUGGCACGAUACAGCCUCCGUGACGAUGGCACAGUUCAAAACCCUUUUUACUUUAAAUUAGUAAUAAUUUUUUCAAUACAGUUCAAAAGAUUUGACAAAGAUACAUAAUAAGCAACUAAAAAAUUUUGUUGCUAAAGAAAAUAAGUUUUUUAUAUCAUUAUGUGUCAGCACACAUGUAUUUUUUGUGACCGGCAUGCAUAGGGACGAUCCGGUAUGCACCGUGCCAUAUCGUGCCAACAAGCUUACGGCACAAUCCCGUGCCACGACACUUAAAUCCUUAAUACAAAGUUCAUCAUAGAAUGAAUAACUACUGUUGAAAAGAUUUCUUCUUUGAAUAAGUUGAAAUUGUUAAAUGAUUGACAUGAUUCUGUAUGAAGCAAUGAUGCGAAGGUCAAAAUGGACUCUAGUGUUCCCUAGGUACCAAACAUGGUAAGAGAGUAUUUGGAAUGUUAAAGAAGAAAAUAAUGCCCAAAUGUCCACAUAGAAUAAUUAUCACAUUUUUAGACAGCAAUCAUGUCAGCCUGAUUCUCUUACUAACUUCUUAUGUAUGUAAACAUCUAUAACUACCUCUGAGAGCCAAAUUCUAGCUGCAAGACAGAAGAUGUCAACUUAACAAGAAAAUCUUUGACAAAGUAUUUAAUGAUUGGCAUUCAAGCCUUCCAGCAUGAAAAAGACCAAGAACAUCUAAUUCAAUUGGACUAACAGACACACUAACUGGUAAGUUCAUAACUAUCUAUAUACAUAUGAGGAAAACAUUAUUUUCAGGACAACUUCAUUUACUAAGGCGACAAACGCAAGCCAUUAUAUUUUUAUGAUUUUAUUAAUAGUCAAAUCACUCUUAGAAACACAAAAUGAUAUCCUUAGGUUUGAAUAAGUGCGAAUGACCGUACAGUAAAAAUAUGAUCCAUUUGAUAUGAAAUUCAUUCUUCCUAUGACAUAUAUUUGACAGUUGGACAUUUUCUGUCGAAUUUUCAUUGCAGGCAUUGUAUAGAUGGAAGUUAUAUUAUUUAAGGUAUGACAAUUGAAUACAGUUGAAAGAGGCACUACAGUUGGAAGCAUUAUCAGAUACACUAGAUGAGAUUAGAAGCUAGGAAUCAACUUAAAUGAGAGAACUGAACAUUGCUUUAACUGUUAUAGAUUAUAAAAGUCUUUGUGAAAAAUACCAACCUGAACACGACUUUCCUCAUUCCAGGAGCUCAAUCCAUGUCUCACAAGAGUAACCUUCUUCGCAGAAGACAAGAGCUCAUUUGUAAGUGAGGUUGUUGCUCCUUUGAAGUCAUAAGCAGCACCAGUCAUCGAAACUUCGCUUUCUGGUGGGCUCUCUGUGGAUACAUUGUUGAUGAUCUCCGUGGAUACAUUGUUGAUACUACAAUGGACUAGGGUUAUGAGAUUUCUUGAUAUAUAUGAACCUUAUAAACAAAAUGUUAUUAAGUCUAUCGUAAUCUAAAAAAACCAUAAUAACCUAUUUAACGAAGACUAAAACACCAAGGAAACUCCAGUUUUAUGUAUGGUGUCAGACAAUAACCUUUGUGUCAUGAACAGAAGAGGCGGUUACUUAUAAACCACGGAAGAAAACAAUGUAAUGUUGUUCCACUGCAUACUCAUCAUUAAGUUCGGUACAUGACCUUGUUUAUUUAUCAAGUAACGUCAUUUAUAACGUAAACGCAAUACAAAAAGAAUCUACAGAACCUACACAAACCGUGAAUUAGAGACAUGGAAAGAAGAAAGUACAAAAAAUGUGACUACGUCCGUUUGUUNAGUUUAGCUUAAAAAUGUUGAAUUUUUUUGAGAGAGAAAGGUACGUAGUAAACUACCUGCUUCGUUUAUUUUCUUUUAAAACUAAACUGAAUAAAAAAUGUGAAGCAACUAGAUCUCGAACUUGGGAUCUAGAAUACCAACCAUUAAGCCCAUAGCCCAACUAUACUAGGUACAUAUCGUCGGUGAAAUGUUGGUAUUAAGAUUAGAUGGGUAUUGAGGCAUUGAAAGGGGAAGAGAAGAGUAUGCUUAAGAACCUAAAAGGGGAAAGAAAAGAGUGCCAUGUAAAAUUAAGAAGUUGCUUAGAGUACAGAUUCAAAAUAAGCCUUAUAUGGCCCAAACAGAAUAUCUUGUUGCCUCAUGCUUCUUCUGGCAAAGCAUUUAUAUACAGACAUACAACCAAAUGUCUAGAAGAGCUCCAUAUUGAUGUUCGUUCAGAAGAAUGAUAGAAAAGUAUAUGACCUUGGGCACCACUAGUUUUGAUCAUAAAGCCAAAUCAGUUGUACUAACUAUUAACUUGGUGCGUACGAACCAAGUAUUUUGCAGCCAGAAAGGGAAUGUUAAUGUUGAAACAUGACAGUUUUAGUCAAGUAGAAGAAUAUGUCGAAGUUCAAAGCGAAAAAAAAAAAAAAAAAAAAAGAAAAAAAAAAAAACAGAGACCGCCACCCCCCAAGAACAAGUGUUUGCAACUCUGAGUAAAGGAGCUAAUUCAAACAAAUAACCGAGCUCGAAAUAUAUAAAAGAAGAUACGAUAGCUCAUAGCUUUUAGGAGGAAAGUAGCAGCUAGGCACCUAUUUGCCAUUCAAAAAUCUGUUAGUACUAGCAAGAUCAUAUAAAUCAGAUUGGAUUCCUGGCACAUGCCAAAUAGCAGUACUUAUAAAAAAAUAGAAAACAAAAAAACGUAAAGCUGUGAGAACCAGUAAGAUAGAUAUCAAAUUCUACUAACUAUUUUCGUCACUGGGAGAGUCACUGGUGGCAAAAGACUCCAUAGGAAAACAAUAUCGUUUAUAGCUUAAAUGAAUUACUUAUCUCGAACAAGUCAAGUCGACAACAUGAUGGAUGAUAUCUCAAGUCAAAACAGAAAUAACUCAAUAUUAUUACGCUCUAUAAGAGAAGAAACGGAGGAGCAUGAUUGUGUCCAGCUAAAUCAUGGGAAUUGCAGAUAUCUCAAAUACUACUAUUUAGAAGACCCUUUUCGCCUGGUUCAUGUACAGUACAAGCACUAGCUUCUAAUGUAUAUACAGGCAGCAAUCUAACUUAUCCUCUCUCCAAAGGGCCCAUGCUGUAGGCCCUGUUUCCGUGCGUGAAUAUCUUAUUUAGUAUACCAUUUUAAUUUACACAAAAAAUUUAUAUAUUUGGACCAUAAGAAGUGCGAUCAAAUAUUUAAAAUGAAAUAUUAUAUUUAAUUUUUAGAUCAAUUUUUCAGAAUAAAAUAAAUUAUCUCGUAGCUGAGAUACGCUAUCCUAUCAAAUCAUAAAUAGCAUAACCUUUUAAGAAGUAAAAAAAAUCAAACUUUCUGCUUACUAUCGUACUAAAAAAUUCUUAUACCGAAUAAGUUAUCGUUCCGACGUCCAAACAUCCAAAAAUGAACCAGGCUAAUGUUGGAUACAAGGGAAGGGGAUGGAGAGGAGGAAGUACCGGAGCAGUUGGGCGGGUAGGAGUUGGAGCAAGAAAAGGAGAAGAGCCGCCGGACGCCGAGAGGCUUCAAGUUGCGGAUAGCGAGGAUGCCCGGCGGCGGCGGUGCCGCUGCUGCCACCAACGAAGCGCCACCCAUUCCAAAGUCCCAGCGCUUUCCGCUGGCCACUAAUUCCUCCGCUGUUUCUUUAGAAAGAUAGGGCACAUUUCAGCUGGAAUCACGGAUAUCCCCAGAUGGAAAAAAAAAGUCAAAAAAAUGUAAAUUUCUUAUGUGGCUCUCAAAUUAUGCUCUUCAAACUUUAAUUUAUUAUAAUCCUUAACUUAAAUUUUUUUAAAUUUAAUAAUAAAGUCUUACAAUAAAAUUUAGUUAGUUAAAUACUAAUAGAUUUUUUUUUUUUUAGAGAAAGAGAUAGCAAGCUACAUACUUCAUUCAUUAAGACAAAUAAAUUAGACGUACAUGGUGGAAGCAGCUGGGGCCUUCAAAAGGCAAAAAAGCGAAGGCGAAAAACAUGGCUAAAAAGACCAAGAAUAUAGCAAAAAGGGGGAGGGGGACUCAGUCCAAGAGGAGAAGAGAACUGACUCGUUCGGAGCAGUGUGGCGGUUGGGCGUAUGUUGUUUCUUUCCGUCCAUGCUACCCACCAGAUUGCAGCCAGGAGAGUUAGUUCUUUGGCUCGCUUCGCGGUGUCGGAGAUAUUAGUAGUUGUGAUCCACAGGGAUGGGGCAUCAGUUGAAUUAUCGACCGUUUCCAGGCAUGCCCCAUGAAGAAGUAGGUACCGGACGAAAACGCAGCUAACGAAGAGAUGGUCGCAGCUUUCGAAGCAUAUGGCACAGAAGACACAGUGUUGGUCUACUUACAUGCCUUUGCUGAGUAAUCUAUCAACGGUUGGUAGCCGUUUGCGAAGAAGAAGCCAAAUGAAGAUUUUGAUUUUUAUUGGAAUUUUGAGUCUCCAUAUGUGUUGGUUCGUCAAGUCUCUCUGCCCUGCGUCAGUAAGAAAGCAGUAGAGAGAUUUAACUGAGAAUAUUUGGUUAGGGGUCCAUCGCCAUUGGGGUGAGUCCCGACAAUCGUUGGGGCUACGAUGUUGGAGAAAGUCUUUGAGCAUCGUCAUUUGUCUGCGGUUUUCGACUGAGUGUACGUGACGUCGCAAAGCCUCUGCAGAUGUAGCACCAUCUCCAGCCCUUUGAAUUCCAGCAUCUGGAAACACAGGCCUCCUUGUUCGUAAUAUUGGUACCGGGCAUCAGUUGAAUUAUCGAUCGUUUCCAGGCAUGCCCCAUGUAGAAGUAGGUGCCGGACGAAAACGCAGCUAACAAAGAGAUGGUCGCAACUUUCGGAGCAUAUGGCACAGAAGAUACAGUGUUGGUCUACUGACAUGCCUUUGCUGAGUAAUCUGUCAAUGGUUGGUAGCCGUUUGCGAAGAAGAAGCCAAAUGAAGAUUUUGAUUUUUAUUGGGAUUUUGAGUCUCCAUAUGUGUUGAUUCGUCAAGUCUCUCUGCCCUGCGUCAAUAAGAAAGCAGUAUAGAGAUUUAACUGAGAAUAUUUGGUUAGGGGUCCAUCGCCAUUGGGGUGAGUCCCAGCAAUCGUUUGGGCUACGGUGUUGGAGCAAGUCUUUGAGCAUCGUCAUUUGUCUGCGGUUUUCGACUGAGUGUGACGCCGCAAAGCCUCUGCAGAUGUAGCGCCAUCUCCAGCCCUUUGAAUUCCAGCAUCUGGAAACACGGGCCUCCUUGUUCGUAAUAUUGGUAAAGAUAUCUGGGAACAUGGUGCGUAGAGGGGUUUCUCUGAUCCAUAUGUCAGACCACAUCCUGAUAUGGGUACCGUCGCCUAGUUCGUAGGAUACACCAUAUUUGAACACCUCGCGACAUCGAGCAACACUUUUCCACCAUUGCGAGUAAGGGACAAAGGUUCUGCCCUCAUGUAGUGGUUUGUGUUUGGUGUAGUAGAGAGAUUUUAUCAGUUUACACCACGGGAGAUUAGGUUCCUUGAGGAAGCGCCACCACCAUUUGGUUAAGAGGGCCAAGUUCAUAGCGUCCAUAUCUUUGAUCCUUAGCCCUCCUUCAGUUUUGCUUUUAUAGAUAGUUUUCCAACUGACUAGACAUGCUCCUCCAGAGAUGGUAGAAGUUCCUUUCUAGAAGAACGCUCUUCCGAGGGCCUCGAUCCUGUGGAGUACCCACUGUGGUGCUUUGAAAGUAGAUAAGUAGAAUAGCGGUAACUUGGCGAGAACCGAAUUGACGAGAGUGAGUCUUCCUCCUUGAGAGAGAAGUUUGGCUUUCCAACAGUCAAUUCUUGCGCUAACGCGAUUAAUAACCAAGGCCUAAUCUUCUUUACGUAAUUGUUUGUUGUAAAAUGGUAGCCCCAGAUAUCGGAACGGAAGCUUACCUACUUUGAAUCCUGGGAUGUUGGCCAGUCUGUCGGCUUUGUGCGCUCGAGAUCCCAAAUAGUACAGUUCUGAUUUAUUCCGAUUAAUCUUGAGUCUAGAGGUCCACUCAAAGAUCUUCCAAAUAAAUUGGAGAUUACUCAUAAAACAUUUCCUGGGUUCACAAAAGAAUAGAGUGUCAUCGGCGUACUGGAGAAGCACUGUUUCGCAGUCUUCAUUUGGGCCAAUUCCUCAUAGUAGGUUGUUGCUCCUAGCGAUUUCGGUCAGCCUGGCUAGGCAAUCCGCGACUAAAAUAAAGAGAUAGGGGGAGAGCGGGUCUCCCUGUCUAAGGCCCUUCCUUGCUUUCAGCCAUCUUGUCGAGCUGUCAUUGACUAAAAUAGCCACUUUGGCAUUGCAAAUGCAUUGUUCGAUCCAGGACCACCAUUUCUCACUGAAGCCAAGCCAUCUCAGAAUAUUUUGCAAGAAUGUCCAUCUGACGUUGUCGAAAGCUUUUUCGAAGUCGGCCUUGAUAUAAACGCAUUCCGUGCCGAAUUUUGAGCACCAGUUGACUAGUUCACAUGUUGUGACAAAUGAGUCUGUUAGCAGCCGAUCUUUAAAGAAGGCGGAUUGGGAAGGGGAGAUUAUGGAUGGUAGAGUGAGCGUGAGUUGGUUGGCAAGCACUUUAGAGAUAAUUUUUUGGAUUCCGCUGAUGAGGCUGAUCGGUUGAAAGUCAGUUACCGUGCGCGGUCCUUCCUUUUUUGGGAUGAGGGACACAAAUGAGUAGUCGAUGGGUCCCGUAAAUAGUUUGUUAGCCUGCAAGUCAAGGAAUAUGUUGAAGAUGUCCUCCUUUACCGUCUCCCAAAAAGUUUGGAAGAAAAUAAGGGGAUAGCCGUCUGGCUCCGAGGCCUUAUCCCUGCCUAGUUGGAAGGUUGCUGUCUUGACUUCCUCAAGAGUGAAAGGGGAUGUUAGGGAGUCGGGGUUGCACAGUCUAUUAGAGUGGUAGAGGUUGCUCCAAUCUCCGUAAGAUGGAAGGCUUUCAUCCACAAGACCAAAUUGGCGUUGAAAAGCAUGAAAGAAGUAAGAUCUCUUUUCGUCUUCGUGGGUGAUUUGCCUCCCUAGUUCGUCCUCAAUGACUUCUAUGAUGUUGCUUCAUUUUCGACUGUUAGCCACGGCAUGAAAAAAUUUAGUGUUUCCAUCUCCCUCCUUGAGCCAAAGUUGUUUGGCCCUGGUGUUCCAGAGGAUUUCUUCCUCCUUUAAAAUAAGCUGCAGUUGCCCUUUGAGGUUGGUCCGUUUAUCCAAAGAUUCUUGAGACAAGUCAGAGUGUUCCUCUAGGUGGUCGAUUCUCUGGAGUUCUUCCUGUAUGAGCUUCUUAGUGUGGGAUAUACUGUGGUAGUUGGACUUGCACCAUUCCUUUAUCCUUGUUCUGCAGUGCCUGAGCUUAGCAGUUAUACUGAGGAUGGCUGACUGCUUACAGGGGACUUCGUUCCACCAGCUCGGCACUUUCAAGAGAAAGUCAUCCUUGGUGAGCCAAACCCUUUCAAAUCGAAAUCUUCGCGGCGUGGGUAGGAGUCCGGUAGUGAGAAUGAUCGGUGUGUGGUCAGAAGUGAUCCGCGGUAGAGCCUUGACCUUGCUGAGGGGAAAAGAGAGGUCCCAUUCGGUGGAGACGAGGAAUCUGUCAAGUUUGGCCAAGGUGGGUUUAUGUUGCAUGUUAGGCCAGGUGUAGGUUUGGUUCGUCAUUGGUAAGUCGAUGAGCGCUAGAUCUCGGAUGAGGUCCGAGAACAUUGCCAUGAAUUUGGAGCUCCAAGGAUUUCCUCUUCUUUUAGCUUGGUGUCUGGUGAAAUUAAAGUCGCCGUAAAUGACCAACUUGUUGGAACAUAUCCCAUUGAGUGUAAGAAGUUCGGCACAAAAAUUUUCUUUUCCAUCCCAGGUGGGGGGCCCGUAAACGUUAGUGAGAUAGAAUGUCUUGUUGGUAGGAAGGUGGAUUAGGUUGAGAGUGAGCGAGUGGUCGGGGACCAAGACCUCAUUGCACUUAAAAAAAUUAGAAUUCUAGCACGUGAGUAAUCCGCCGGAGAACCGGAAGGCGAGAAUGAGGUGGCACCGGUCGUAUCGGGAGUCGCAACAAGAACGAAGGAACGAAUGGGAGACAGUGUCCACUUUAGUUUCUUGAUGACAGACAACAGAACUCUGAAGAGUGGACAACAAGGACUUGACACAGCGACGUUGGGCCGGGUCAUGCAGACCGCGGGCAUUCCAACUUAACAAGCUAAACAUCACAAAAACGAAAAUCACACACAACAGUAGAAAACACGGACACGACAGAGAUACAACGUUUAGGCUUCAGCCAACAGGAAUUUUUUAAAUUCUGUAGCAUCAGAGUCAGUGAGUGUCACCCCGCAAAGUAGGCCCCGCGCCUUGAAUCUCUUUUUGGACCAUCUGUGCAUUGGAGUCGCCGGUGUGGUAGGGCCCCCCUCGAGGUGGUGCACUUUUCUGCACAUCGCCCUACUAAGCAUAGAGUAGAUCAUCUGCGUGGCCAGGCGAGCGCUCGAUCUCGGCACGUCCAAGGAGAGGCGUUUAGAAACAGGCUGGUGCAGCUCAUCUUGAGGUGGGCUUCCAGAGUCGGUUUGAGUGAAAGUCGGGAUCGAAUUUGAGCUGGGCCGAGGCCCAGGACAGAUGGAUGAAAAAAGAUCACUGCUUGCAACGGGUAAUUGGAGGUUGGGCUCGAAACCGAAAUAGCAAGCAUCAAAGAUUAGGAAGGUUAGGGUCCAUCCCGGACUACCCAAGCGGGGCGCGGGGUCCGAUGCAGUGGAGAUACGCGAGUGGUCCAAGAAGGAUGGCCCGAAAUGCCAAUAAAUGCACCAACAAUGCUCCUCGGGGUAGAAAAUCCCAUGGAAUCCCACUUUGUCAAAAGCUUCUAGAUGCAGGAGCCAAGGGUUAGCCAAGGGAUUUCCUGAUUCAGGUAAGAGGACAUUGAUGGUGCUGGAGAGGCAAGCGCCAGAUGAGAGGAAAGAGGAAAAGGUGGAGACGGUGUCAGGUUGCAUGAGAAUGGAAAGGCCAACGACGUGGAGAUUUGAAAGUGGAAGUGGUAGGCCCUUCUUCUGGCCUGAAACUCCGCCGAUCGUUAGAAAGGUGGUGGCGAGAGGCGCCGGCAGCCCGGGUAAAAGCCACGGCAUGGGGGGAGUUCCGCGCGGCAGAGAGGUGGAUCCGCGAGGCAGAGUGUCGCGCAGCAGUGGAAAGGUUCCGCAUGGCGAAGAAGGGGCCUCUAGCUGUGGGUGGCUGGUAAGAGGCGCCGGUAGCCCGAUCGUUUGCCGCGGCGGAGGGAAAGCAUCGCGAGACGUAGGGAUGGCUUCGCUUGUAGGAGAGAGAGCAUCGCGUCGUCUGUCUCGAAUUUCGAAGGAAUUCCAGGAGGCGUUAGAGUUAAAUGAACCUCCAUUCUCCGAGUGUCUCCCCCGUGCGGAGCCGGUGGAUCGUUGGCCGUCUCUGGGAGCUGGUCUGGCGGACGGAUCAUGCUGGUCCGUGCGUUCAUUGUUGGGGUUGGCGCGUCUCUCCUCCUCACUGCGGCCCCACCUUUCUAGCUGGAUUAGCACAGAUAGCGACAAAUCCCCGAAGGAGAUCUCCAAAUUUUCUGGAAUAUCUGAGAGGUGGUUGACGGCUACCAGGCACCGGUAGCCGGAGAGGUCAACCAUGCGGGCGCUGAAGUCGUCCAAUCUGAUGAACCUGCCGAAGCCGCUGACGAGGGCCGCGACGGUUCGAGAGGACCAGCACUCGUAUGGGAGACUGAUGAGACGAAUCCAGGCUUUGUAGGUGAGUGGCGGCCGUCUCGGGCCACAGUAAGAGUUAUUAAUGGAGAACUAAUAUAGAAGUAUUGUGAUUGAUAUUAUGACAAUAAUUAAAAUUCUAUAUCACUUCUAUAUCAAUAAGUUGUCAAUAUUUAGCUAAUUAUAUUGGAUUAUGAGAUCUGAUUGCAAUAAUUUUAAAAAUUUAAGCCAAAAAUUAUUGUAAUCAAGUAUCACAACCCAAUUAAGUUAGCUAAAUAUUGACAAUUUUAAUUUAUUAUAAUUUCUGAUUUUAACUUUCUAAAUUAUUAUAAUCAAAGUGUCAUAAUCUAAUUUAGUUGGCUCAAUACUCACAAAUUAUUAAUAUAGAAGUAAUAUCGAAGUAUCCUAACCCUAUAACAGAAUUAGAUUAUAGGGACACAUGUUUGAGACACUUUUGUGUAAGUGUCUCAUUUAUGUCAAAACUUAAAAAAAAAAUCUACUAAUGCCUAAAUAUAAAGCCCAAUCCAACUAAACAUAAAAGGUUACUCUACUCAACCCACCCUACCCAGCCCAUUCGGUCCGAUUACAAACAGAAAAGAAAAAAAAAAAAAAGAAAAAUCGAUUACCAUCUCCUCUUCUCCCCUCACUCAAUCCACUGAAAUUCUAGACGAAGAGCCCUUCUCUCUCGUUCUCCUCCGCCACCGCAGCCAACGAGGUAGAGUUCCGGCGGUUGCUAUAUACUUAAAUAAGUGUUGGUAAAUUAGCAUCACUCUUUUAGGUUACAGCGACACUCUUUAACUGUCACUAUAUACCUAGCGACCCCACAUAUAGCAACACUUUUUAAAAGUGUCGAUAAUUUAGCUAGCAGUAUUUUUUUUUUACCUGUACCGAUAUUUAAAAGUGUCGCUAUAGACCGUUUUUGUUGUAGCGAUAUAUAAUAGAUAAUGUGAUAAUAAUUAAGAUACUAUAUUAUUUCUAUAUCGAUAAUUUGUUAACAUUUAGUUCACUAAUAAUUAAACUGUGUUGUAAGAUUUAAUUAUAAAAAUUUUAAAAAUUGAAGUCAAAAAUACAAUAAACUAACAUUUGAAGAUUAAAGUACCAGCCACUUCAUAGUUUGAGGGCAAUGCAAUUUACCCAAAAAAAAAAAAAAAACUUUUUUAUGUUUUGGGCUUUCUUGUUUAGUUAGACCACUGACCUCGUAGAAAGUCAGUUUGUCUAGCCUUUCUUCGAUAGUAGUGUUGUCCAUUCUGAUCCGAACCCGUUAUCCCCAUCCAACCUAAAAAUGGUACUAGUACUAAUGUAAUAUUUUUUGCAGCCUUAUUUUUAAUCAUCUUAAAAUAUUGUAAUUCGGUGGUCAUUAGUAAAAUCCCCACUGUAUAUUUGUCACUAAUUUUCCCAUAAGAUAUUGUGCCUCUAAUUUCAUACAUGGGAAACCAAAAGCGACUAUAAGAGGAAGAGACUUUUAGCUAUCGUUUGGUUCGAAAAUAAGCUAUUUUAAGCUAUCUCUGGGAUAGUAAAACUUUUGGGAUUAGCAGCAAUAAAAUCGAUUUUACAUUUAGAUGAAAAUUAAUUUUUUUUUUUUCAGGAGUAAGCAUAAUAGCGUUCGGAGAGUUAGAUGGGAAUAGUAAGGAUAAUAAUAAUUAUAUUUUUAAUAUAAUAAUAUUUUAUCUAAUUAAUUAAUAGAAAAUAUUGAUUAAAUAAUAAUUCAACUUAUUUAAUUUACUAAUUAAUCGUCAAUAUUGUUAAAUAACCCUAAAUGUUAAUUAAUAAAUUAAUUAGUAAUUAAUAAUUUAAUUAGUCACAAGUAAUUUAAUAAAUUAAUAAAUAAAUUAGUUAAUAACAGUCAGAUAAUUAAAUUUGUCAACAUAUUAAUUAAUUAAUCAAUAUAAAUAUUGGUUAUUAAAUAAGUACACAAUAAAUAAUUAAUUAUUUAAUUAGCAAAUUAAUUAAAAUAAUAAAUUAAUUACUCAAAUAGCUAACUAAAUAUUUAUUAGAGUAAUAAAUUAAGUAGUACAAUUAAUAAUUUUAUAAUAAAAAUAGUAUAUUAUAAUAUAUAAUAUAUUAUGUCUAUAUAAUUUAGUUUUAAUUCAAUUUAUAAUCUUAAUAAAACUUGAAAUUAAACCUUAGAAUAGCACUAUUCCACCAAAAUGGUGGAAUAGUAAAUCCCAAGCUAUUCCGAGAUAGCCGGGAAUAGCAAUAUUGUUUGCCCGAGAUAAAAUAUCCCAACCCAAAAACACCCCGUUUUGCUGGAUAGCAGGGAUAACUUUCGUUAUCCCUAUUUUAUCCCCGAACCAAAUGAGGCGUUAGUGUUUAGUAACUACUAAACUAAUUCUUAAUCCCGCUUGUCUUAUAUAGAGUUCUUGUUCCCGGCCUCAGAUUUAAGAUAAUAGAUUCUUAAGAGUUGUAUUUGUAACUAUAUGUCCUAAAGGCCCCUUCAAAAAAGGUUUUGUAAUGUUCCGAACUUGUCGCAACCCGUCGGUGAUGAGAAUGCACUGAUAUGCCGAUGGCAGUGGGGAUGAUGGUGAGGCUCGGACUUGGGAAUUUGAGAUAAUUGAGUGAGAGAAAAGGAGAACGAGAGGAACUAGAGAGAAGAGAGAGAGAAACUAGAUUGGGGGAUUGGAGAGAUGAGAGAGAGAUAAGAGAGGUAAAGAAUAGAGGAGAAAGAAGAAGAAGAUUAGACAUUAUUUCCGUGGAGCUUGUGGACUUCGUAUAGGCAUGAGCAUAUUCUUCGAGUUGAUUCAGAACUCAGAAGUGAAGCGGAGUCUUUGUUCUGACCACCCAAUCCGCUAAGAAUCAUCCUUUCUUUCUCCACUUCGUAGAUUCUAUCUGAUACUUCCCUUCCUCUUGAGGACUCCCAACUUGCUAUAUAUAGACGAAGCUAAAAUCUCAAUUCUUGCUCCUUUAUUCCUUCUAACCCACUAUUAAUCUACUCUACUAAGCCUCUGCUACUCUAUCUCUAGUUCUCAGGUUCUUACAGCUGGUUUAUAGCAAAUGGAGAAGAUGAUGAUGACGACGAUCACGCUACAAAUGCUAGACAACAAAACACAAACAAAACUAGAAACCGACCAGCACUGCAUUCAAUGACACGCACUUUUGAAUUUAAAAACUGCGCAAACUAAAAUAUAACAUCAAGAAGAGAUCUUGGUCUACCAUGGGAAAUAAGAACCACUGAGACUAGCCAAGAAGACUGCCUAUGAACCAAAAAUGGGGCUUGUUUAAUCUGUCCAAAACCUCCAAAAAAAAGGUUACAGGCAAGUCAUCCUUGGCUAUCAAAGAUAGAUGCUUAUCACCAUGUAAGACCUCUCUUCUGCUCUUGUUGUCUUCUGGUUGGCUCUUCUUGCUUGCUACAUGAUGUAUUUAUAGUAAGCAAAAAGGUUGGAUUAGAUCUCUUUUCAAGUCUCAAGCUAUUCCAGUCCAACUUUGCGUUGAUAACGUCUUUUGUAAAGCAUAUUAAUGUCGGUUUCACUCUUGGCCCCUUAGUAAGCCGCCUCUAUUGAGAAUAUGCUCUUAAUUCAUAUCCAUUUAAGUCAUUUGCUGGAUUGUAGUGUAGUCAACUUGCAGAAGGAAACUUUUAGGUAAAGCAGGAUAAGAAGGAAACUAAAUUAUUUUGUUUAGAAAUACAAAGAAUUCAUAACGCUUAAAAAGUAUAAAAUUCUAUUCUUCAAUUCCCCUCUAUCACAACUUCUCUCCCUUGGCAAUAUGGUAGAAUUUUGACUUCUUAAGAGAAUCAUAUGCUUAAAUUCCCUUAGAAUAAAAAAAGUAGUAUCACUUUGAAAAUAAGAAGAAAGAUAAUGUAAUGGUUCUUUUAUUAGGCCUGAUCAAUAAAAGAAAAUUAUAUGUGCAGGGAUAUAAAAGUAAUAAUAAAGUGGUGCAAAAAUAUGCAUAGAACUUAUCUAAAUUAGAGACCUCUUUGAUCUAAUUAACCAUCCAAUCUUUAUAAAUUUCUUUUAUUUUUCUAUCUAAUAUUUCGAUCCAUUUGAAUCGACCCUUNUUCACGUCUUCGUCGUCGCAAGUUGAUUGUCUCUCAUCUUUGGUUGAUAAUUGAUAAUAAUGAAUUUUUUUUUUUUUUUGAGAGAGAUAGGUAGCGUGCUAUCUGCUUCACUGAUUUCAUUUAGAAAUAAAUUUAGCUGAAAAUGUGAAUCAACUAGGAUUCGAACUCGAGACCUUGGGUACUAAACACCAAACCCUUUACCACUUGCGCUAGGGACAGUGGGUCCUUUAGUACAUUGCUAAAGAAAACUUGUGUAUAUUGCUUGCUUUAGAAAAAUUUCAGUCACUUAAAUACCAUGAAAUUCUCUCUUUAUUCCCGCGAUAAUAAAUGGCAUCCAAAUUCUGAAAGAAAAAAACCAACAAAUGAUUAAGAAUAAUAGUGUCAUAUUGGAUACCAUAUAGAACCUUUACCUAUAUAUAAUAUAGGGAUAAUUGCCUAUAUACCCUUCAUGCGUUCGGAAAUAUCCGAUCUAUCCCUACUUUUUUUUUCUUUCUAAAAUACCCCUCAUAUGUUCCACCGUUAUUCCAAAAUAUCCACGCAGUUAUCUCCUGUUAGCUUAACUCGGGUUAAACAUGGGUUAAAUGUAUACUAGAGUUAAAACCUAAACAAAAUACCUAUUUUGCCCCUACCUUAUUAUACUACUCCCUAAGGCUAUCCUCUCUUUCUUUCCCAACUUGGUCGCCACCACCGGCUGGCUCCUCCGCCACCACCGGCCGGCUCCUCCGCCUCUACCUCGCCUCAUCUCCUCCUAGACCACCACCACCUCCCACACCUCUACCUCCAACACCACCCCUCUCGUCGCUUUCGUCGUCCUCCUCCGCCGCCGCUCUCGUCGCCGUCAUCUUCCUCCUCCGCCGCCUCGGCCGGUGCUGGGAGCAAGAGGGCCGCAGCGACGAUCCCAUUUCUCGCCGCUCUCGUCGUCCUCCUCCUCCUCCUCCGCUACCUUGGCCUGCGCCGGGAGCAAGAGGGCCGCAGCGCCAUCGGACCCCUGCACGCCCUCCGCUCCGGAUCGGGCUGAAGGGCAAAUAAGAAAAGUAUUUGCUAUAUGAAGGGUAUAUAAGAAAAGUUUGUUACGGUACAAUAGUAUAUUGGAAUGGGCAAAAUGGUAAUUUUUCAGAGAUAACGGCGGUUCACUAACGGAACUUAACUCCAGGUGUAUUUUAGAAAAACUUGGAACAUAAGAAGGGUAUUUUCAAUAGUAGCCUUCUAAGAGGGAUAAAUAAGAAAACCGGAAACUUUUCAGAGGUAUAUAGGCAAUUGCCCCUAUAAUAUAAACAAUGUCUCUGCCUAACAUUUUAAGCUUUUGGGUUAGGUUUGAGCUUUUUAAAUGGUAUCAGAGUUUGAUUCACACCCCCCAAUUAAUUUGUAGUCAGUCUAGCGGCCGCAUGUUAGUUGCGUCUAACACACAUGAAUUUGUUUGUACAGAAUGCUAGUUGUGUAUAGUAUGCGGAUUGCAUUUGUGUCACAUAUUAAUUAUAUAUUCAUACGUGAGUUUAGUAUGAUUGCAUUGGGUCCAUGUGCCACGUACUAGUAGCGCCUAACAUGUGUCAAGAAAAAGGUGUUAAAAAUAAUAGUCCUCUAUCAAAUAUCAAACAAAAUCUUGAUAUAUGUAUAUAAUGUGAAUGGCAUUUCCACUUAACAGUUUAAGCUUUUAGGUUGGACUUGAGUGUUUUAACACAAAUAUCUAGAACUAAAUAAAUUAAAGCAUUUCUUAGUGAAAUCACAAUGAGUCAUAGCUCCAGUAAACAUUUUUCCGAUAAAUUAUUCAUGCGUGAGGUGUACGUACGUUGAUCUUCAUUUGAUGGAUUUAUUAUUUUGUUUCAAAGAAAAUGUGGGCUUUUGUUUAGUCCAUAGUGCAUAUUUUUUCGGCUGGCGAGGAUUGUGUCAUUCUAUAAAUAAGAUCGAAUUAUAAGGUCAUUAGGAUGAAUUUGGAUUCUAAUAGUCAUUGAAUUAGUAUCUUUUUGUGAAGAGAGGUAUCCAAACAUUUAGUGGGUCUCUCCUAGCGAGAACAAAUCACAUGUACUCUAAUAGAAGUUGACAGAUGGGCACAAUACUACAUACAUAGAGAGCGAGUGAGAGUCCGGCUACCCUGCUACCAAAUACUUGUGCUAUCAAAUUUUCUACCGUUAGAUUUAUCUAUUUAAUCAUUUUUCAUCUCUUAAAUCAUACUAUUCCACCAAAUACCCACAAAAUCCUAGGACAGCAUUUGGUUUGGAAACAAGGGGGGAAUAAGCCCUGUUCCCCUUUUGUUGCCAAACGUAAAUUUUCGUACACGAGAACAGCAAUUCUUCGGUCCCUAAAAUAAGCUGGUAUAAUCCAAAAUAAGUCUGAAAUUAAUAUUCCACCCUUUUUCCUGGAACAAGAUUAUUCGCAACUGGGAAUAAGGUUAAUUAAAGUCUAAAUUUAAUUUUGAUUAUGGUAUUAAAUAAUUAAUUAAUUUAAUUAAUAUAUUUAAAUCAUUAUCUAUUGCUUAAGUAAUAAAAUAAUUUAUUUAUUUAUUACUCAUAAUUAAUUAGCUAAUUAAUUAUUAAUAAUUUAAUGUGUUUAUCAAAAACUAAUAUUUAUAUUGAUAAACUAUUAAAAUUUUUAUUAAUCUAAUUAAUUCUUUUUACUUGUUAUCUAACUAAAAUAAUUUACUAACUAAUUAAAAAGUUAGUUUAUUUUUUAUGUUUAAUUUAUUAGUUAAUAUAUUUUUAUUUUCUUAUACAAUAUUCAUAGUUAAUAAAUUUAUUAAUUUAUUAAAUUAUUUUAAUUUAAUAUUUUUAUGUUUCUUAAUUAAAUAAAAUACUUUUAAUUUAAAAUUAUAACUCUUAUUUCGUAUGUUCCAAUUUAAUCAUCCGAACACUAUUUUUCUUAUUUCUAGACAAUCUAAUUUUCUUCUAAACACAAAAUUAGUCUAGUUCCUGCUUUUAUCUAAACUUAUACAUAUCCCUAAAAUAAGCAAUUCUUACUUAUACCUGAACCAAACGCAGCCUAGGGGACCACUAUCGUCCUACCCGCACAUCCUUUCAUUCAAAGACCGAAACCUAAUAGCACCAAUGAUUUAGUGCUAUUAAUAGUGCAGUAGCUCAGAUCCAUAGAUAUACAGACACACAUGCGUGCGCAUGCGCGCGCGUGCACACACACACAAACAUAUAUAUAUAUAUAUAUAUAUAUAUAUAUAUAUAUAGAGAGAGAGAGAGAGAGAGAGAGAGAGAGAGAGAGAGAGAGAGAGAGGGAGAGUCCGGCUAUGGUGCUUGUAAAAGCACCAAGCAUUUGGUGCUUGUAAAUUUUUUACCGUUAGAUCUACUCCUCGGAUCAUUUUCAACCGUUAGAUUAUACUAUUUAACCAACCACCCACUCAACCCUAGGGGGCCCACACCAUCCUAACCGCACAUCCCUUAAUCCAACGGCUAAAAAUCUACAAGCACCAAUGUUUUGGUACUUUUAAAAGCAUAGGAGCUCAAUUCUAUAUAUAUGCUUAUUAGUAUUUGCAAGUUUUCGUUCUUCGGAUGAAGAUUUGUAGGAUUAAAAUAAAAGUGGUACUCUAGGGUUGAGUGGGUGGUUGGUGAAAUAGCAUAAUCUAAGAGAUAGAAUUGGUUAAAGGUAUAGAUCUAACAGUAAAAAAUUUACAAAUAUCAAGUGCUUGGCGCUCUUAAAAGCACCAUAGCCGAAUUCUCUCUCUCUAUAUAUAAUUUAUAUAUUAAAGAAGAGAGUUUUACUAGAAUACUAUCAGUAGUAAAGGAUUCCAUUUACUACUAAUUUAUUUUUGGUGAUAGAGCUUCCAUAUCGACGAUCGGCAUAUUGUAAAAUAUGAUCUAAACUAUUUAAACAAUCUGAAAAUCAAAUUUUACAUUUUUUCAAUAUUAUUCUCUUGUCCAUCAAGUGAAAAAAAGUAAAUGGCUAAAAAUAAAUAUCCUUCAAAACAUGAUGAUAUAAUUUUUAUAUUUAAGAUCUGUAGUCUAGAUCUUAUUUUAAAUAGUUUAAAUAAUUUUCUAACAAAAAUUUAAUUUUUUGUACCGUUUUAUCCCGCUAAAACGAGCAAACGCAUCAUUUCGGUCAUUAAAAUUACAGAUUUUGUGAUCCUUUGAUCAUCCAAUUAGUAAUGUCAAAAAAGCAUAAAAUUUGAUUUCUAGAUAGUUUAAAUAGUCUAGAUAAUAUUCAACGAUGUUGAUCGUCAAUUUGGAAGUUUUAUUAUCGAAAAUAUAUCUGUAUUAAACCGAGCCGUUUACUACCAAUAAUAGCCUAGUCACUCACUCUCUCUCUCUCUCUCUCUCUCUAUAUAUAUAUAUAUACACACACAUAUAUAUAUAUAUAUAUAUAUAUAUAUAUAUAUAUAGUCGGGCUACUAUACUAUCAGGACCCCUAAGAUUGAGUAAAUGGUUGGUUAAAUAGUAUGAUCCAACAGGUGAAAAUGGUUAAAGAAAUAAAUCUAACGGUGGACAACUUAUAAGUACCAAAUAUUUAGUGCUUUUAAAAGCACCAUAGUUGUACUCUAUAUAGAGAGAGAGAAAAAGAGCGAGAAAGAGAAAAAACUCUACUCAUACACCCUGUUUUGACGUGUACAAUAUACACCAACCCAUCCUUGGGUGGGAUGGACUAAGUAUCGAUGUGACUUGUAGAGUUCAUCCCACCGUACACCCCGAAACAGGGUGUAUACAUAGCACGACUAGUUCUCUCUCUCUCUCUCUCUCUCUCUCUCUCUCUCUCUCUCUCUNGGGGCCCGGAGACGUCCCCGUCAUCGACAUGUCGAAGCUGGGAUCCAAAUGGCACGCCGCCGAUGAGCUGAAGAAGCUCGCCGCCGCCUGCGAGGAGUGGGGCUUCUUUCAGGUACAUAUAGAGUUAAUAUAUUAUCGGAAGUACAGAGGAGUUGACGCUUCUAAUUUUUUGAUCCUUAGAUCAAGAAUUAUACUGUUGGGAUGAUUACGGUCUCCUAGGAUUGAGUAGUACUAGAGGUUAGAGUUGAGUGGUCCCCACAUGAUAAUAAUAUUAAUCCAAAGAUUAGAAAUAAUUAAAAAAAUUAAUCUGAGUGCCAAAAAGUUGAAAGCACAAUAUUCCGAUAUAUAUAUAUAUAUUAGAGCUACUAUGUUAUCGGAAAUAUAGAGGAUCUGGAGCUUUCGAAUUUUUGACCUUUAGAUCAACCCCUUUAAUCAUUUCUAACAUUUGGAUUAAUACUAUUAACCUAUCGGGACCACCCUGGGGGGACCGCAAUCAUUCCAAUCGUAUAAUUUUUAAUCCAAUGAUCAAAAAGUUGGAAGCAUCAGAUCCUAUAUACUUCCGAUAGUAUAGUAGCUCUAUAUUGGACGUUAUCCUGUGUAAUAUAUGGUGUAAAGCUAUUAUAUUUUCGAAAUUAUAAAAAAGUUGCUGUUUUUUAUUUUUCAAUUUUUAUAUUAAAAAUUAUAGAAUUGGGAUGAUAGUGGUCCUCCCUAUAAUUUAGUAGUCUCCUAGAGGAAUAAUAUUAAUUCAAGGACUGAAAGUGAUCAAAAGGGUUGCUUCAAGGAUUGAAAAACCUUGCGAAAACAUAAUAGCCGGACUAAUAUAUGUGUAUGCCACUACUUGAAUCCCUGGUGAUACUGGACUGUACAUGUAAGUGGGCCUAAUAAAGACUUCGAGGUCUAAACAGAAAAUUUUGUAACACUCCAGUAAUCUCAUAUUGAAUGGAAAAAGGAUUAUAAUUGUGUAUUUCAAAACUAUGUACUCUUUGGGCCGGUAGUGCCCUCACUAGAUUCAACUAGAUUUAGUAAUUAAUCUAGUUUGUGCAUAGUAUAAAGUAUAAACUGGCUCUAUUAACAUCACCAAACUCCUUCGCGAACCAACUUGACACUAAAGAAGACUUUAGUCUAUCAUGAAAAAUAAGAGCUACUUAGCCUAAAACCACUUGGAACUUACGCUUUAUUGAAAAACUUCGAAAUAAUUUAAUUACAGGUAGAGAUGUUACAGACUCUUCCCGUUUCUAAGAUUACAAAGUUGAUGUUAAAUUUACUAGUUUCUAAGAUCACAAAGUUGAUAUUAAAUUUACUAGUCUUUAUUAUUCCGAUACUUAGUCUAUCAUCCGUUUCUAAGAUCACAAAGUUGAUGUUAGAUUUACUAGUCUUUAUUAUUUCGAUACUGACUUAGUCUGUCAUUCACCGACCCUGACUCAACUAAGACUCAUCUCACACUUCCAGCUGGUAAAUCGGCUCUAAUACCAAAUUCAACGACCCGACCCGCCAGUAGUUCACCUCUGAUACCAAAUGCAACGAUCCAACCCACCAGCAAUAAUAACUCAUUAGGUUCAAACCACCGCUCAAAAUACUUAAGCGUAAUUAUAAUUAUUAGGGUAGAGUCUUCUUAUAUACUCAUAUUUUUCAUCCAAUAUGGGACUAUUGGAUAUUACAAUUUAUUGUGAGUAGGAAGAGAAAUCAAAUUUGGUUA
rnacentral:lncRNA from 1 species